UUUCAUGGCUUCUUCACCAUGCAACAAGUUCAGUUUGUAGGCAGAGCCAAAGCCUGGAAAUUUGUAUCUUGAUGUAACCAGAAUCCUGAAUUCCGGUAUUUCAAACUUUUUAAACUCCUGAAGAGGGAAUUCAGGUUCAACCCUAAUAUCAGGGCUACCCCAAACAUCAUCGAGGACCAACAGUACAGGAGCUUUUUCUGCUUGUUCUGUCAGCAGUCGUUUCAACUCUUUGAUCGCAUGUUGAUCAGUUUGAAACUCUGGCACCGGGCGAUGAUUAUGUUCAAAUAGUUCCCGUACCAUGAGUUUGAUGUUGGGCGCCUUAGAUACGGUGACAAAGAAGAUGUUGUCCUUAAAUUUUCCUGUUCAAAACAACAUGUAAGAAUGGAGCCAAUCGAAGAUUAUUUGGAGAUUCGCGAUAUGGCAUACAGAAGUAGCAAAAUUAAACAAAGUAAUCAGUUCUAUGUAAUUUUUCAUGAGACAUCCUCGGCCUAAAAAUGAAUUUUGCUUGAUAAUUUCAUAUCAGUACCCCAACUUGGUUUGUUUAUACCACCUUAUGGAUAGCUCAUUAACCUUACGUUUUGGUUCCCAAAGAAGUUUGAGGGAAAGAAAAUGGAGAAAAUGAGAAAGACAAAAGAAAAUUAAUAAAAUUGUUUUCUUGGCAAAACGUCUCGACUCUCUCCAUGAAGAGAGAUUUUAGUUAGAAAAAACCUCAAAUUUAUUUCAAAUAAAUCGAUCUUCAAGAUAGUUUUCUAAAUUAAAAUUGUCUCUUCAAGAUAUAAUUUUGGUUACUAGAAAAUAAUUUUUUUAAAUUAAAUUUUCUUAAACUAGAUGGAAAACAAGAUAUUUUACCAAUUAUUUUUUUAAGCUGUGAUAAGUAUCAAAAAUCCAAAAAAUGAGACUAUGGUUGGACGGGUAAGGAAAAAAGUACCAUUUCCUACUGGAGGAGGAUCCUCCCCCAAAUUAGGGACACAGAAAAAAAGACACAAUUGGAUACCUUUAACAUCCGCGUCUUGGCAAAGUUUUUGAACGAGUGUGGUCUUCCCACAUCCUCCAGGAGCCGACACCACAACCACAGAUUCUUUGACCAGCAGCUCUUUCACUUGUCUCAGGGGCACAUCCAGUCCCACCGUAAAAUCAGGGGGUUCAGGGGCAUAGCAAUCUCCCGAACCCAAAUAUCCAAUUUGACCAGACACCUCACCAGUUCCAUAUUUCAAUUGAGAUUGAAGAAGGGCCAAAAUCUCCCUGAUGGUAUUAAAUUGUUCCAGAGGCAUACGGAACUUGAAGAGGAAAAUAAGCGACUGGUAAAAGGCAGUAAUCUUACCUUUGUAUUUCCAUUUAUUGAUCGACCAAUGGGCCCUAUAGUAUUUUUGAAUAAGCUUAUCGCCUUCUUCAUACAGUUGUAUUAGCUGCUUCUCGCUCUCCUGCUUUGGAUGAUCCCUCUUUCUGAUCUCAUGAACGAUCGGCUCUAUGAGUUUCAGAAUGGAUCUGACUUGUUUUAAGAUCUCAUCGAACGAAGCUGCCUUCUUUCCUACAUCGAAAAUGGGUUUUAUCAAUUCUCCAAUGACUUUUUCCAGAACGGCUUCUCCAAGAAAUUCCAUAUCGAGAAUUCGACUCAGCAGAAAUGGAGUUUUAGCUCUCCUAAAAACAAGACACCCUCAACCAGAAAGAUUCAAAAUCAAAAUUUUCUUUCCUUUUCCUGGGUUUGCUGGGCACGCAAACAGAUCUGGAGAUGGUCAGUUAUUUAUUCUCAGCUGUAACUAAAGGCACCGGUUUUAAGACGCAGAGGAAGCUUCUACUUACAUUCGUCGUCGUCAAAGACUUAAAGACCAAGGAAUGCGACUCCGGCAGAGGAAGCUUCUACCUACAUUCGUAGUCGGAGACUGAAAGUCAAUCCAAUUCCAGUAUUUAAACAAUAUUUAUUCAUGCCAAAGAUUCCUGGACGAUGCAGUUAUUACAAAGACGAUACGUUUAUUCGGUUUAAUAAACAUACAACUCUUUAAUUGACACGAUGAUGUCAACACGAUUACACCUAAUUCAUAGUGAGCAAGUUUGAGAGUAAUUUUAGAAAAUGCUUCUAAUAUUUUUUUUAAACUUAAAAAUUUUUAUCAUUUAAGUGUUAAAAAUAUAAAAAAUAUUUUAUAAAAUUACUAUCAAACACACUCUUAAACUUACUCAAAUUAUAUUUAUAAUAGCCAUUAAAUUAGACAGUUAUUUCUAAAGAUGUUAACUUAAUGUUAAUUGUUUCUUCAAAAAGUAGAUAAAAAAAAAAAAAAAAAUCAUGUGAGAAGCAUUAGCUAAAUUAAAUACGCCCAAAUAUUCCAUACUAAGCUAUCCACUACAUGCAAUACUUGUGCGAUGCAAUAAAAUUUAACAUUAAUUAUUAGUAUUCUAGUAACGGUAAAAUAAUAUAAAUAUCAAAUUAAAAGUAUAUUUAGUUAUGAAGUUAACAUCUCAUGGUCUUUUCCAUAAUUUUUUUUCAAUAUUCUUUCCUUAUCUAGAAAUAAUUAAAUUAUUUAUUAAUUUACAUAUACUUUAAUUAAAAAUAUAUGAUCUAUACAAUGAGAAUGAAAAAUGAUUUAUCAUAAGUAAUUCACACUAAAAGAUAAAUAAUUAAUUUAAAAUUCAUUGUUUGAUAGAUAAGUACAAAUUGUUGAUGUAUUAAGUUUAGAUAGCAAUUUUGUUAAUUUCUUAUUAAUUUGGAUGUAAUAUAAUUUCUUGGGUCUUAUACAUGUGAAUAUAUAUAUAUAUAUAAGACAAGAGUUAGUUCAUAACAUCAAAGUCUAAAUAAGAAGGCUAGGAAGGAUAUUAACAGCUAGUCUUUGGCCAUUGCUUGAACUAAGUCAAGCUUGGGUUAAGUAAAACCACCCCAUUGCACACUUUUUAUUUUAUUUUAUUUUUGGACUUUUUACUAAAAACAACUUGCUUUCAAAUUUGAGUUCAUUUGUUUUUUCACUUUUUGUUAACUUAUUACUUAUUUCUUAAAUUUUUUUAUUGAAUAGAAAAUACAAAAAUAUUUUACUUUUUUUUAAUACUAAAAGAAACUAAUUGGUUUUUUUUAAUUACUUCUUAGUACUUAAUAGAAAUAUAAUAUUAAAAAAAACUUAAUACUUAAUAUUAUUAAACAAUAUUUAGUUUUAAUUUCUAUUUAGAAUUAAUUAAAACAAACAAACAACACCUGAGUUAGAAUUGCAUAUUUUUGUUUGAACAGUAAAACAUUUAUCUAUGAGUCUUAAUUGACUCCAUACUUUACAUGUACAUAUUUAAUAUUUGAUUUAUAGAUUACUUUAGACUAAUUUUUAUUUCGUUUGCAAUUAAGUGGUCAGAUUUUUUAUUUCAAAUUAUUUUUAAAAAUGAAAUAUUUAUUAAAGAAUUUAAAACACUAAGCUUCACUUGAUUUAGAAUCUAUUUACUUAAUGAGAAAAUUUAGAAAGUAUAGUUGUGUGCAUAGAAAAAAUAGUAAAUAAGGUGAAUUAAGAUACAGGAGAUUUAUAAAAUAGGCAUAAUUAAGAAAAAAAUAAACUAUUGUUCUCCAUUUCACUCUUUUUUUUAAAUUGUUUUUAAAGAGCAACUUAGAAUGGGCCCAUAAAUAUUUAAAAACAUUUUUUUUUCUUUUUUUGCUAUAAAAAACAAACACUAUUUUAAAUCACGUUGCUAAAUAGGCUUUUAGUUAUUUUUGUAUAAAAUAUAAAAACUCUUAAGAACUUUUAUUAAAAAGUAAUAGCUUUUAAAAACUGUUUUAAAAAAUUGGAGAUUUGAAAAUUUUCAAUGCCUCAAAUUUUAAAUUAAUUUUUAAGUACAUAAAGUAAACGAAUCCUUUUUAUGUAGGAGUUUUUAUUUUUUAUAUAAAAUUUAUUACUAUUCUCUAUUUUUAAAAAUAAAAAAAUAAAAAUGUUUCUAAAUUAGAUCUAAGAAAAAUAUUUUUUAAUUUUUUAUACAAGGAAAAUAUAGUAAGGAAAUCAUUUUUACUUAUAAUUUUUAAUAUUUAAAUCAUUUUCUUAUGUUUGGACAUUGUGGAAAAUGUUGAAUAAAAAUAUUAAAGAAAAGAUGAGUAAAAAUGUUAAAAGAUUUUUCUUUUCAUUUUUUUUUAAAUAAAGGUGAGAAAAUGUGAAAAAAAAAAAGAGCACCAACAUGGAGGGAGGUGAAUAGGUGUUAUUGACCAAUUUAAAAGGUCUCCUAACACAAGUUAUCUAACCUUAAAGUUUUUUUUACAAUUUUUCCUUUUAUUUACAAACACUUUCAAAUACAAAGUAAGCAUCACAUUCAACUAUAAAUGCAACAACACUCCCCAACAAGAUUAAAAUGUUAGCCACAAGCACAUGUUCCAACACUCUCUAACACAAUUCCUUAAAUCAAUUUCUAAUUAAAACCAAUAGUAUAAUAUCUCAAAUAUACCAAUGAACAAUAUUCACAAAAGCAUUCAAUACCCAAAGGCAACUCAUAUCUAUUUCAUCUCAACAUUCAACCAAGUAUUAUAUACUCAAAUUAUCAAAGAUAGCUAGAAACUGAAAAUGAAAUGAAGAGGGGCAUGAGAGACAAUGAGACAACACUAAAAUUAAUGUGGAAAACCUCCAAGGAGGUCAAAAACCAUGGGCCUACAACCAAUAAAAAAUUCUACUAUGAGAAUCAAUCAUGGUGUACAAGGAUGGUAUAACUCAAGAUCUCUAAUCCCUCACAGACUACUUGAUAAGCACCUUCUCACCUCACCAUCACGCCCUCAUCUUUAGGAACAUGUUUGGAGUCCUUCGCAAGCUUGAUCUCGACAUUCUCCUUGAAACUCCAUCAAGAAGAAAAUGGGUUCUCACCCAAAUCCAAAUGAUUGAGAGAUGAAUGUUCAAUGAACUCAACCUAUUUUUCUUUUCAAAAAAUUCAUUAAAAGAUUGGCUUGAAGACUUGUAUGAAAUUUUCUUGGAAAGAAAACAACCUCAAAAAGGAAAGAGAACCAAAAGCCCAAGGCACGAUAGUUGCUCUUUGUUUUUCAUAAGUAGGAAAUUUUAUUUUUAAAGGGGGAUGAAACCCUUAAUCCAAUGGUCAGAAACACUUUUAACAAAAACUAUUUUUCCCAUGCUUCCCUAACUCUUUUAAAAUGAUUCAAGACAAUCAACAUUUUGAAAAUAAGGUUUAUUCAAAUUCAUUCAACACAAACUCAACUACUUACCUUGGUCUUUUAGCAAAUCCAAUGUCUUGAUCUUCAUUUGGUAAGUAGUCUGAUAAUGGAUUUAGAGAACCAUAGCUAGUAGACACUUAAGUAUUUUGUCUGGAAUUGUCAACCUAGUUACAACACUCACAAUCUCCCUCUUUGAAAAUUCUGGGACAAAACCCUAUACAACACGAAUGAGCACAAGCAAGUAAGCCUUACCCAACUCUCAUACAAAGCCACUCACUUACUCAAAACCACACCUUAGGUACUACAAAACCUACAAUUAAAUCUCUAGAAAACCAUUAUUAGCACUUGUAAGAAACAAUUAAAUGUACACAAUAUUUCCAAAUAUCUCCAGAAAUUUCAAAUGAAUUCUCACAAGAAUACCCACAUUUAGACAUAGAACUAUUGUUAGCAUCUUAGAUCUAAGCAAUUGAAGCAAUACCAAAUUUAAAAAAAAAAAAAAAAUCUUUUAGGGUUAAAGUACUAACCUUUAGGUUUGGAUGUUCCCAAACCUUAAAUUCCAAAUGUUGAAGACAACCUUGAAGUUGUUGGAAGUCUCAUAAACCCACAAUCUUCCACCCAACGACUCAACCUUGUUCUUGGCACACUUCUAGUGGGGAAGAAAGGAGGGUGGAGGUUAUGGCUCUCUUUUUCUCUAGAUGGUGGAAGACAAAAAUGAUGGAAACCCUAUUCCCAAUGGGGUAUUUAUAGGAUUCCUAACUGCGCCUAAGUGAUUUGAGCCCACAUGGGCUUGGGUCAUUUAAUCCAGCCCAAAAUGGGUCCUAAUUGAUUAAUAAACCCAAUAAAGCCAACUAAUUAAUUAAUUAACCCAAUCUAAAGACCUUGUUCACUUACCCUUAUGCAACCUAACAUAUUUACCAAAACACCCUUAUGCACAAAAGCGAACCUAGAGUCAAUUCGACCAUAAUAAUAUAUGCCAACAAGGUAUAUGAGCUUAGAGCAGGGGCUAAUGGGACCCAUAGGAGUAUUGGCUUCCUCUUAAUCUAAUUUUAAAGUUGAUUCAACAUCCCACUACAAAGAAUCAACUGAUCUUUAGAAUCCUAUGUAAAUAACAACGAGACACUACGUGCUUGGGUCCGUGACCUACUAUCCAUUGUAUUCAGUCUUCUCAUGAACUGGUAUUUAUAGUCUAACAAGUUGAAAACUAGCAACCUUUUAAGACUACCUCUACUAUCCUUGAGUUACAGAUUCUCCAAUUGUGUAUUCAAUUAACAUGUCUUAGCUCUCAAAGAGCUUAUGUUUCCUUAAGUUUCACUUAAGGAAUUACUAUGGUCAUAGUUUCCAUGAACACACCUCCUUAGGAUCACCCAACAGAACUAAUUGUCUCCUUCCCAUGAAAUAUCAUGGUGUCUCUAUUAAGAAUACCUAUUUCUACCAACUUCCAUCAACAGUGACCUAAUCCACAGGAAAUACAUGACCAACUAACGAUCUCAUCCAUAAGUCAAAUCCACUACUAACUUUAGCACAAACUCAAUAUUCUCUCAAGGUUGAAAGACAACACAAUGAAACAACUUGGUGAGUUCAUAACUACUUGAUAGCCUUAGGUCAUGACUCACCGUAGGUUUUGUCUAAUGUGUAACUAUAUACACUAGUGCACUCACCAUGAGAAACUCAUCCUAAUAGCCAAGACCAGUCAUCCUUCCUAUUAGGAGGUCGUGCACUACAACAUCUAGUGGGUUGCCUAAACCCAUGAAUCGACUAUGAACAAGUCAUCUAUUUACAAGGAACCCAUGACUUGGAUCUUCCAUGCAACUCUUAAUACACCCAAUUCACAUACAAAGAAAAAGAUGUAGACAAGAAUGCUCAUAAAGUGUAAUGCAUGGAAUAAGGAUAAAUAAAAUUAAAACUAGAGUAUCAUUAAAUAAAUAAUAAAUUUCAAAUUUAUUACAUCAUGUCAUGCUUUUAAGGGCUUAAUCCUAACAACUAUAUCCAUUCAUAAUGAUCAAAUAUGUCCAAGGAAAACAAGUAUGCAUUCAAUAUCAUGUCAAGUAUCUAAAGAUAUACAAAAAUAAACUUAUCAUGAUCAUCAUAUCAAAUGUCUAGUGUCCAACAUCCAAUAUAUCCAACGAAAAAUCAAUAUCCAAGAUCUCAAAAUAAAAAAAUAAAAAAAUCCAAGAUGUCCAAAACCAUCUCCUCCUUUUUAUCCCAAAAGAAGACAAAAAGUAGAAAAUAUCACCUGUAAGCAAGUCAUAAAGAUGUCUAAAAUCCAAAACAAAACAUGAACAGUUUAGCAAGUCAUAAAGAACAAAGGAUUAGGGAAGAUGUUGAUCGACAAAAUCUUUAAGAGCUUGUAGCUAAUCCAUCUUGCAGAGCAUUUGUCCAUUAAUGAGAGAAAAACUUUUUUCCAUGUGUCUGAAGUUGGGAAAGCUGCUCAUAAAACAAGAUAGACUAUGCAACAAUUUUCCCAUACAAUGCAUCAAACCUAGCACUUAAUUGAGCUGGGAUAACUAAUCCUACAACUAAAGUUGAAUACUUUCACCAAUUGUGUCUUUAUCUCUAGGACAACACACUCUCUUCCUAGGAUAGAUGGCACCCUCAAUUUGUCCCUUGCUUCGACUCCAAAAUGAGGUAUUAAUGGAACAUAUCAGUUUGAGAAAAGAUGAAUUUUUAGGAAAUUCCACCCCAACCAUUUGGCAAAUUUUUGUGAUCAAAAUGCCAUAAGGAAUAACCUAUUUCUUAGACACAGAAGGAUCUCUUCUAAGUAUCAUUUCAUUUAUGAUGCAAAUGGCUAGGUUGAUGGGUUCCUAAUGAAGGAUUUGGGACAAGAGGACGCACCCCCUCCUACAAAUAUCUACUCGAUGAGAGGAUGAAUAAACUGAUAUGUCAGAAACGUCGCCAAUGCUCAUGAAAAGUGAGAUAUGCUACAAUGUGAACUAUUGAGCCUAACUAACUUAAAAAAUUUCCGCAUAAAUCAACUGAAACUGUAUCCAACAACCCCAAAGUGACUUCCAAUUCACUCAUAGAGGGUACAUCAACCAACGAAAGACCUAAUUAACACUUUGGCUACCACAUUUGGAGUGAUCUUAACAACUAUUCUGAAAAGACUUGAUUUGAGGUAGGACUCAUCCAGGUUAUGUUCAAAUGUGAACUAUUGAGCCUAACUACCUCAAACAUCUCCCCAUAAAUCAAUUGAAACUGUAUCCAACAACCCCAAAGUGGCUUCCAAUUCACUCAUACAGGGUGCAUCAACCAACGGAAUGCCUAACACUUUGGCUACCACCUUUGGAGUGAUCUUAACAACUAUUCUAAAAAGACUUGAUUUGAGGUAGGACUCAUCUAGGUUAUGUUAAGGACAAUAGGAGCUCAAAAAAUCCCAAUGAAGCCUGCUAAAGGAAUCCAAUCAAGUUCUGCAAAUAAUGUUGAAAUUGGUAUGUCUUUAAAUGAGUCCAAAUGAAGUUGUCUAUCAAGAAUAAGAGACCUAUGUUGAUAAACCUUGGUGUAUGAGUCUCUACAAAUCUUAACCAAGAGAGCACUAAAUAGAAUGCCAUUAAUGGUUGCUUUUGUAGGAGCCCUAGGAUAUUGGGGGGUUAAAUAGGAGGAUUAACAGGCAUAAUCUCAUCUCAACCUCCAUUUCGAAAUCUAGAGCUUGACCAUCUAAUAGGGACUUUAGUCCCAUGAUGUUUUAGAGGCAUAAUUGUAAGUAAAAGAUACAAAAACCAAAAUAACCAAAACCAAAACAAAAUCAAAGAUGAAAAAUCCCACCAAAAGCAUCAAUACUAUGAGAAAAUAUCACAUAGAAACGACAAAAAAAAAAAAAAAACAAAAGGUGAAAAACCUAUAGACAAAGUAGCAAGUGUUAUCAAAGUUGAGAAUCUUUGUCGGAGAAGACAGUUAAACCAAGAAAUUUAGCGAAAAAGUCGCACUGAAGACACGGAGGUAGAAAAACAUAGUGGGGUUGAGAUUUCCAAUACCCAUACAGGAACCCUCGUUGAAAAGACUGUCGAAAAGGAUUAUCGGAUGAACAUUGGAACUAGAACCCUCAUAAAACAAUUCCAGUUGAAAUCGAAAAAAAAAUUGCUUGCUAGAAAAGAACACCAAAAUGAACUUAACUAGAGGAAAACCCCAGCGAAAAAAAUGCUAGCAGCAAGGGCGAAAGCACAAGCUGACGACAAAGAAAAAGAGACGCUCUCUUCUCUAGAACAAGGAGAAACUAGGGUUAUAAUGGGAAAAUUUUUAUUUUUUGGGAUUUUAAGUUUUUCAAUUUUUUGUUUUAUUUUGUUUUUGUUUUUGUUUUUGUUUUUGUUUUUUUUUAAAUAUAUAUACAAAAUGAUGGAAUUACACCUCAUACACUUACAUGAAUGAAUACACAUAGUUGGAUACAAAAUGGGAAUUUUCCCCUAAAAGCCUAGAUACAUAGAUCUUGGUGGAUCGAUCUAUAAUUCGUUCAUGUGCUCUCGAUGAAACAAAAUAGCAUAGGCUUGAAAAGACUAGAUUAAUUAAAAAUGGCUAAUUGUAGGUGAAAAAAAAAAGUGACAUUGAUCUUGGUAGAUUGAUCCAAAUUUGAUCAUGAGCUCUUGGUCAAAAGAUUGUGCGACCUAAAUAUAGAGGACUAUUAACAUAAAUGCAUCUAAAUGACCUAAACCUAAAAAUGCAUCUAAGUGACCUAAAUCUAAGAAUGCUUCUAAGUGAUCUAACCCUAAAAAUGUAUCUAAGUGAUCUAAUCCUAAGAAUAUAGCUAAGUAAUAUAAGCUAAGGUGCGACUAAGGUCCCAAUUGGGAUCCAAAAAAAAACCUUUGAUGAUGAAUCUCCAAAGGUGGCUCAAAAAUAGUACAAAAUGAGUGACAAUGGACCACUAAGGGACUAUAGGGCCCCUUUCUCAAGAUUCGUGACAUAAGACAUAUGAAGAGAAAGAUCACAUGAAUACAACACCUUAUGCCUUUGCAACGGUUACCUUAUUUAUGUGAUGCUAUGUUUUAGACCAAAUUUUUUUUUUUUUUUUUUUUUGUUAUAAGGAUGAUGAGUAGAUAUUAGUCCAAUCCAAUAUUAGAGCUUUAGGUGGAUGUUAUGCAUAUACUCAAGUACUUUAGGAGAAUGAGAGAAGAUAUGCUUAUGUGUCUUUACAAUGAGUUGAUACGCCUAAGGUACCAAGAAUUAGACUUUCAGUUUGAUGAGAACUAUCACAUGUCUGCCUCUAUGAUAUGCAUUAUCUUAUUUUUCAAUAAGUCUAAUCAUUCAAAUUUUAAACAUUGCAACUUUGAUGCAUCACAAUGCAAUUUUUAAAUCUAUGAUAUCUUUUGGUUAAAUCAAAGGCAUUAGAGAAUAAGUUGGGUAUUUGGGCUUCUAGAUUUAAAAAUCAUCAAAAUUGGGGUAGAAACACAUAAUGAGAGCUUUCACAGUGGCUGAAUUAAAAAAUUCCUUGAAUUUCGAAUUCAUGAGUGGCAAUUUCGAACUCAAUUUAAUAAAGAAACACAUAGAGCAAGCUUUCACAAUGACUUAAUUCGAAAAUUCUCUAAAUUUUGAAUCAUAAGUUGCCAUUUGGAACUCAAUUUAAUGAAUUUGAAAUUACCAUGCCCAUUUCGAAUUCACUAGGUCCAUUUUAAACUCACUUGGUGAAUUUCGAAUUCAUCCUCUACAACCGUUAAAACCGAUCCCCCAUCAUCCAUUUCUCUCCAGACUUCUUUCUUUACAAGGCCUUUGAUCUUCUAAGAACCUCUAAGGUCAUUUUCCAUUAAUUUGGAGCCUCCAACGAUGAAUAAUUACAUCCAAAGGUAAGCCCUAACCCGUAGUUUGAAUUUUUUUUGGAUAUUAUUCUCAAAUUUGGGUUCUUGAGUUGAAAUGCAUGCAAAUAUCUAUAGGAUUGCAAUUAUUCACUUCAUACAUGUUCUUUUGGAUUCGUUAUAUGUUUUCCAUGGUUUAUUAUGAUUAAUAAUUCUAUAUUUUGUAAUUUUUAUAUUUUCCUAAAAGCCCAGGAUAUUCAAAAACCAUUCAUUUAUUAGAAAAUUUGAGUCAGGGUUUGUAAAACAUGACAUUGGUGGAUGGAAUAUAAAAUUAUACUUUGAAUUUUGAAAAUCCACUAGCCUUAGAUGAACCAUGGAAAAUAAUACUCGGGUACAUACUUUCAUUGGUUAGGCACUUUAGACAACUUAGAAUAUCUUUCAUUGGUUAGGCAUUCUAGACAUCUUAGGAUAUUUAUUUAUCUAUUUAUUCAUUCCUCAUUCUAUAGCACUUUCAUUGUGACUUUCUCUUUAAUGCAAUACUCUUUAAUGCAGCUGACAGUGGGCCUUACUAUCAAUCAAUGAUUGCUACCAUAACGGAAGUAGGUCUAGGCAUCAAGGGUCCCACGACAUAUCAAAUUGGAAAUACAUAUUUGGAAGAGGAGGUGCAAGAGCUUGAGUUACAUAUAACCAAGGAGGAAAAUGUCGCGAUAUUUCGGCGAUAUAUCGCCGAAAUAUCGUGUGUCGAAGGGUAUCGACACGAUUUUUCUUACAGAAAUAUCGGCCAGACGAUUUUUCGGGAUAAAUCUCGAGAAAUCGGCGAUUUUGGCGAGAAAUCGGCGAUUUUCCUCGAUAUAUCGCCAGGUCAACGCGGGGUCAACGGAGUCAACGCGCUACAGUGAAAGUCAAAUGUGCUACAGUGUCCCCUCUAUAGUGCACCUCCCCAAACAAUUUGCUUCCGAGGGGAUUUGAACCCCAAACCAAAAGGUUUGGGGUUCAGCCUUCUUGCCAUCUGGGCUAACUCACCCUUAUGAUAUAAAGUGCAUUAAACAUAUAUAUACUUAAAAUCCUUAUAUAAAGAAAAUGUUAAAUGAAUAUUUUAAAGAGCAAAUUAAUUAUAAUUAUUUUAUAAUUAAAAGAAAAUUUUUCUUUUAAUUAAUUACCAAAAAUAUAAAAAUUAUAUAAUUUUCUUCAUAAUGUUUUUAAUAUCAUUAAUAAUUAAUUAAAUAUUAAAAAAUUAUAUAUAUAUAUAUAUAUUAUAAUUUAUUUUAUAUUGUUUAAUACAAUUGAAUUAAAUGGAUCAUAUUUUAAUAUUAAUAUAUAUUUUAAAAUUAGACAUAUUGUAAUCAAAUAUCAUAAUAUUAUAUGUAAUUUAAUAAUAAAUGUACAUUUAUAAAAUUCAUAUUUUUAUCGAUGCAUACAAUAUUAUUAUCAAAUAUGAUAAAUCAUGUUAUGUAUAUAUCAAAAUUUUCAAUAAAAUAACUUUAAAAUGUCUAUUAUACUUCUAAUUAUAUUAUUAUGAGGUUUUCUUUACAUUUUCAUGAGUUUUUAACAAUUUUAAGCACCAAUAUUUUUUUCAAAAAUAUCUGCCGAUAUAUCUCCGAUAUAUCCCAAUAUAUCUCCGAUAUAUCCGAUAUAUCCGUAAAAUCGAAGUACCGAUAUAUCCGUGAUUACCGAUAUUUUCAUCCUUGCAUAUAACAACAUUGAAGGCUAAAUGACCUAUAUAUGGGUGCACAAUCAUGUGUGAUGGUUGGAGUUCUAGGACUAGCAAGCCUAUCAUCAAUUUCAUGAUUUAUUGUAAUAGAAGUAUGACAUACUGAUCGAAAUUCUCUAUUGUACCAAAAUACUUAGCCUUUUUACGUAGUAACUCUGGUCAAGAAAAACUAGAGAAAGAGUCACUACGACUUUUGUAAUAUUCCGGGUAUUGUUCUCAAGGACUGGCUUAUGAAAAUUGUCAAUACUAGAAUAAAUGAAUUGUUUUUGUUUAAAUCCUUAAAUGAAAAACAAUAUGUGAAUAAUGUGAAACUAAGUAAAAGAAAUUAAAUUAAUAAGAAAAAAAUGAAUAUUGAUUUUAAAUUCAACUAAUUCAAGUUUGGGGUUUUCCACAAUCCAACCUAGGGUAUAGAAAUUAGAGAAAACAAGGGUAUUUUAAGUAAUAUGAUCUUAAGGUUUUGGGAUCCUUGGCCACUCGCGAUCAAGUUGAGUUCUAUAACUCAAAAUUGCAUCUGAAACCUAUUUUUCCUUUUUAAAACAGAUUCCUAAAACCAUCAAAUGAAUAAGAUUGAUUAUCAAUUUAAGAUUUGGCUUUUUAACAUUUCCUACUCUUAUAGCUUUGUUUAGGGGCAAAUAAUGGUAGGUAAGACGAGGAUAACUAAUGAUCAAGAAUUACCAAGAAUCACUAGUAUCAAGUAAUAACCUACCGUAUCAUUCCCUAAACGAACUCACAAGGAUAGGAUAAAAAAAAUGAUAAAUUGUCACCCAACCAAUAAUUAAUCUCAUUGUUAUAAUAAUUUACCCAUUGUCCCUAUAGGUUUCCUAGCCCUUAGGUUUUCAUGCUUCAAGCCCCAAGUUGGCUCUUAGCCUCUCAUGGGGGUGAUGUUACAUUCACAAUCCAUAAUAGGGUAAAAAUCCAUAAUUUGAAUCAAAAGAAACUAAAAACAAUAUAUUCAAUAAAGAAGAAAAAGAAAACAAACCAAAGUUCUUGUCUUCUUCCACCUUCAAUGUCAAACUCUCCAGAAAAAAAAUCCAAGAUCCCUAAAACCUAGAAUUGAGAGAGUUUAUAUAAUAUCCUCAAUUACCUAACAUGUGACACACUCUCAUUGGCCACUUAUUACAAAAUAAUUUCCUAAAAUGAUUAAAAAAUAAUAAAAUGGUGAUUUCUAGUCGUGUGGGGUCCACCUAGGGCGGAUGGAGUGCUCUAGAUGCAAUUCCCAAGGUAGAGGAGGCGGAACAUCAAACUGGCAGUGAGUGAAUUCGAAAUUGGUGUCAUUUCGAAUUCAUGAGUUGAAUUUCGAAAUCAUUUUGAAAUGACCCUCCAGCUUGGUGCAGUUGUCUUCAAAUAGCCAUAACUUCUUCGUUUCAGCUCUGAUUUGCACACCGUUUAAAGCGUUAGACUUCUGACUUCCCGAUCUUCGAAACGAUAUAAAUUAUGUAUAUAAUAGGCUCCAGAAAGUGCUCUAAAUUUUUCCUCAAAGUCAGAGUAUAUAAUGUCAUCAGAUUUUUGAGUUCUAAAUUUCCAUGCAGCUGAAUCUUGCUUCAUGCCUCAUUUCCCAUGCUUUCUUGCCUUCUUUAUUACUCCAUAAUGGUCAUUUCUCAUCUUUCAAACUCAUGAUAUCCUUGUCUUGCCUUUUCUUACGUUCCAUGAGUCUUGACUCACUUAUUUCCUCAUUUAGCCCUUUCUUGAUAUUUCAAAAUCUAAAGUCAUUCAAUUUGCACCAUUUUCUUCCCUUGAACCUGAGAUAAGUCUCCAAAGUACAAAUUAAACUCAUGGCUAGGGCCUUAGCAUUGAUUUAGGUCAAGUUGGGUGAUUUGAAUGUCCUUUGGUGCAUAAAUCAUAUCGAAUAUGUGCCAUUAGAGCACAUAUUUUGGCUCCAAUCACAUACCAUUCUUCAGUUGACACUACCAACAUACCUAAGACAACAAACUACAUCUUUUCCCUUAUGGAUAAAGUUGUAGAGGAGGUUGGGGAGGAAAAUAUUGUUCAAGUAGUCACUAAUAAUGAGGCAAGUUUUAAAGCAGUCGGUAUGUUGUUGAUGGAGAAGCGGAAGCAUUUGUUUUGGUCUCCUUGUGUAGCCCACUGUAUUGAUUUAAUGCUUGAAGAUAUUGCAAGCAUGAAGCAGAUUAAGGAGACAUUAGAUUAAGCUAAGAUGAUCACAAAAUUUAUUUAUAAUAGCUUGAAAGUAGUGAAUUUGAUUAAAGUGUUCAAUAAGGAUAGAGAUCUAUUAAGGCCAGAAACAACCUGUUUUGCCACUAAAUUCAUUUCACUUGAGAUUCUUGUAUGUUAUGAGGUUGAUUUGAAGAGAAUGUGCACAAAAAAUGAGUGGCGUGAAUUCAAUAAAGAUAGGAGCAGAAAAAUUUUAAGAGAUAAGGUAUCCAACCUUAUCUUAACUGAUCGAUUUUGGAAGAAGGCGGGGGAAGUUCAAACCAUCAUGGAACCUCUCGUCAAAGUAUUGAAAUUGGUUGAUCAAGAUAAAAAUCCCACACUAUCAAUCAUUUAUGAAGCAAUGGAUAGAGCUAAAUUGGCUAUCAAGGCAUCGAUCAAGUAAUGGGAAAAGUAUUGGGAAGUCAUUGAUAGAAGCACAGACAUUUGCAUGCUGUAAGUAAUAAAAAAAUUAUUUAUAUAUUUUUUAUUAUUUUUUCAAGUACAAAUUAUUAUAAACUGAUCAUUAUUUAACUUAUGGCAGCAUAUUUUUUAAAUUCAAUGUUCCAAUAUUCAAAGUAUUUCUCUAACCAUCUGGAAAUUAAAAUUGGAUUAAAGGAGGUUAUCAAGAGAUUAGAGCCAAAUUUGGAUAGUCAAACAAAAGCUAUUAACGAGGUAUAAUAAUAGUUUGUGACCUUUAUAUAAUACAUUUUGUAUAUGUAAUGUGCAUUAACAAAAAAAAAAGUUAAUGAUGUAGGUGAAAUUAUGUGUUAACGGCCAAAAAGAAUUUGGAAGUGCACUUACAAAGAAAGCAACAAAUCAAUCUAUUCCAAGUACUCAAUUCAUUUAUGUCUAUUACAAAUAAGAAAUUAUCAUCAUUUUUUGUUAAAUAUAUCAUAGUGAUUAAUAAGUGUGCAUUUUCUUUAUUAUAGCUGAAUGGUGGAACAACUAUGGCGACGAAGGUCCACAUCUACAAAAGAUUCCUAUUAAAAUUUUAAGCCAAACUUGUUCUUCAUCGGGUUGUGAAAGAAAUUGGAGCACACAGUCAUUGAUUCACACAAAGUUGUGCAACCGUUUGGCAAUGAAAAAGUUGCAUAAGUUAGUUUAUGUGCACUAUAAUAUGUGACUUCGAGUUAAGAAUUUGAUGUAAGAGCGAAACAAUGAAGAUUUAUACAAUCCAAUUGAUCUGAAUCAUGUCUUUAAUGAUUAUUAGAUAUUAGAUAACUGAAUACAAGAAGGAGAGGAGCCUAUUUCAUCAUCUGAUAAUUUGGAUUGGCUGGAAAAAGGUCUUCCCACUAAUGAAGAAAGUAGAUAAAUAGUUCAUGAAGAUGAUGAUGCCACAAAUCGUAGAGUUAAUAGGCGUACAAGUAAUGUUAAACAAGAAAGAGAUGUUGAUUCCUAUCGUAAAGGUAAGGCUCCUAGAACAAUUUCUUCAAGUUCUAGUAGUGAUGAUGGUGAUAAUGGGGAUAAUAGGUGAGGUGGUGGCACUAGUGGGGGCAGUAGAGGAGUUGGUGGCACUGGUGAGGGUACUGGAGGAGAUGAUAGCACUGGGGGUGGUUAUUUUAGUCAAGUAGAUCCUGGCAUGUCAUGGGCACAAGGAGGUGAAAAUUACUAUGCCACACAAGAUACAAGUCAUAUCGACCAGGAAUAUGGGAACAAUAAAAACAUUUGGAAAGACUAACCACAUUUCCCAACGAUGAUGAUUAUUCUAAUGGGCAUGAUUAUCAUAGAUCAAAUUAUCACCGUAUUGAUGAGCACUUACAAAAUUUGGUUAUAGGAUCAAGGUUGUAUUUCAGAGGGGUAGAUGAUAGAUCAUAUCACAACUUUAGAGACCGUGAUAGCUCUUCCAAUACUUUUAGUAGAAAUGAUGUUGAUUGAUUUCCAAUGAUGCAUCCAGAGGGAUAUUCAAAUAUUGGAACACGAGCUAAUGAUUCAUAUAGAUAUGAUCAAUCUUCUAGUAGCAGUAGCAUUGCUUAUCGAGGUUUUGGAUACUAUCAAUAUGGUGUUGAUCCCAAACAACCUUUGAAACCAUAUUUUCCUGAUUAUGGAUCAUCAAGCCAAUCAUCUCAACCAACAUAUUCGAGUUAUUAACAACUCUUUCAACCACAUCCUCACUACAGGAAUUGUCACCCCAAUUUGUAUACUCGUCGUAGGAUUGAUGAUGAUGAUUUUGAACUCCCUCGUCAUUCAACAUGGAAUUCAUUAUUGUAUUGUAUGUUGUUAGUAAAAUUGUUAUUAUAUUUGAAAUAAAAUAAUUUUCUUUUAUUGCAUUAUCAUAAAUAACUUUGAGCAGAUACUUUUAUAACUAUUUAAAUAAUGUUAAAUGUGAGACAAUUUUAUUUUAUUAAAUUUUUGAGCUUAUUUAAUAGUAUAUAUUUUUCUGAUGAUUUACAUAAUAUUUUUUAAAUUUUUUAAUUUUCUAAUUAGCUUAUUUUAUGUAUCAUCCGAUACCAAACCGAUACACCGAGACCGAUACACCUUAGGAUCCUUCGAGUCAGUGACCGAUACCACGACUUUGAACCAUGUGUGGCUCCCAUUUCCAUUAGAUACAUGAGUUGAAAAAAUGAUUGGUUUGUGCCCAUUACUGGUCCAAAAGAUCUAGAAGGUAAGCAUUUUACUUCGAGGUAAGACAUUCACUUGUCUAUGAUAACUUCUCUUUCCCAGGAUCAUGGCUCCUUUGCAUUCAUAUUGACCCAUACCACCAUCUAUUCUCAUUUUGCCUACAGACCUCAAUGAAAUCUUGCCUCUAAGUGAUGUGUCUUCCAACAAAAAGGUUAUGUGUGAUUUAUUGGAAAUAUUUAAAAAUAAAUAAAAGAAAAAUGUUAAAAAAAAAAUAUUUUCUUAUAUUAGGUUUUAUUGGAUAAAAUAUUAAAAUAUUAAAUAUAAUUAAAAAAAUUUAAAUUAUAUAUAUUUUUUAAUUAUUUAAUCUUUACCAUGAAAAUAAAAAAUAAGUAAAAUAAAUUUAAAGUAACAUAUAAAAAUUAUUUGUUAAUUCUAUAUCUAUUUUCUUUUUUUAACUUUACUUUCUCUUUCUUACUAUUUUCUUUCCCUUAGAUUUUACCAUAAAUUUUCCGAAAACCAAACAUAGCUAUCGAGAUAAGUAGUAUUUCAUCUCUAAGUUUGUGUCUUCUCCGAAUCAUCUACAACCAAAUUAUUUAUGGGAAUCCUAUUUUUUCACGAUUAAUUAAUCAAAAUACUUGACUCGAAUAUGGAAAUAUGACUCGAUCCGGUUGUACCAAUUUACUUCAUAAUCAUCGUUUACCUAUUAUACCACCAAGUAGAUCUUAUUGUUAACAUUCCGAAUUCCUUUUUACAAGUAGACAAACAGAAAAACAUGCAUGCAUGUUUAAAUAAGAUAUGUUAAAAUAUGCAUCAAACAUACUUCCAAAUUUGUAGGUUUUCAAAAUCUUUGUCAGAAGAGGAGGGACUGGAAGUAGAAUUGGAAUACUCCUGCAUAUCAAAAGUCGAUGCUGCUAGAUGAAGCACGGGCAUCUCUUCCACUAUAAAAUCAACUGAAUCCAAAUGUUGUUGAGUGUUUGGAGGCGGGGGAGCCAUCCGAGAUUCCUUAAUGGUUUACAUGGUGCCACCCAUAAAAAUAAUGCAUAGAAGCAGAAAAUAACCCAACCAUACAGGAAAAGUAGGGAGAGGAGGAUGCCACAAGUUAGAGCUCCACAACUCCAACAAACAUGACAUAUCAAUAACGGAAGAGGGCUUGUGGUAGAUAUUGGGGUUUUCGUCAGAGACAAGACCACCAAGGUUAUAAUGUAGACAAUCAGAGACAACCCCAACAAGCCACAGACACCUACAUGAUCUGCUUUGAAUAGAGAAUUCUCCUCGAGUUUAUAUUUGAAGGCAAACAAGCCUAUUUAGGGCAAAAUGAAAGAUGUCCAAACCUUACUAAGUUUGAUCCAAUUGCCUACUGUUGGAUUUAAGGGUAUGGAAACAAAAUACUAGCCUAAAAGACACAAACAAAGAACAUAAUGAAUAAAAAGAAAAACUUAUUGACUGAGGAGUGACGAACAUUGUCCUUGAAAUAGAUCCACCCUCCUCGAAGACGAACUCGGUGCACUAGGGUGCGAGUGGUCUACCUCCAAGAUUCAAACCAAAUCUCACAUUGGGUGCACUUUGUAAGCGAGAUGUGUAUAGCUCAAUUUUUGAAUAAAUUCCUACAAAUAGAUGUAUGAAAAGACUCUCUGAAAAAACCCUUUAAAAAUUGGUAUUCAUAUAUAGAGAGAGGGGUGACCUACUUUUAUAGGCCACUAACACAGUUCUAAUGGGAAUCUACUUGUAAUUAGAAUAUGACUCAAAGUGGAAGGAGAUUUUAUUUAUAAAAGGAAUGAGACUCCAUUAGCAUAAUCCUAAAAGGACUCUUCCCAAAAAUAUAACACUAAUAGAAUAAAAUAAAAUAAAAAUCUCAAUAAGACUCUUCCCAAAAAUAUAAGACUAAUAGAAUAAAAUAAAUUGAAUUAAAAAAUAAUUCCCAAAAAUAAAAAUAAAAAUUAUUUACACUCUUCCUACAAUCCCUCAUAGAGUGUAAACAUAAUUUUUUUUUUUUUUUUUGGAGGAAAAAAGAAUCCAAUGCAUUAGUACUGGUGCCUAAAGGCUAUGAACCAGUGUUUCUUGAUGUAACUUAAGAGACUUUUAUCCACAUUGGUUUUCUCAACUUCACUAAGAGUUGUACAAAAUGGGUUGGCACAAAUAGGUCAUGCGUCCUACCUGGAUAUUCAUGAGAGCUCUAGAGAACCUACCUAAUUUCUCAUAGGAAGCGACCCCACCUCCACUCUCAUAUAGGUGAAUCCAUCAAGUAUGUUCUGUAUUUAAACAUACCAUCCAUAAGGAAUAUGAUAUUCAUUAAAAGUAAACACUCAACCUUAGUCAAUGCAGAACACGCUUUAUCUACACCAUAGGGAUAGACUCUCAUAUAGAGUUGAUAGAGCACCUCAAGUCAACAAGUGAUUUGUUAUUACCCAUAUGAACCUACUUCAUGGAAUUUCCAUUCUAAUAGGUUGGGUUACCAUCACUCUUGACUUCUGUAAUAGGGAUAAGCCUCAUCCCCCUCGAUGUUUCUUCCACUAGUUUCUUAUUUAGUGAUUUGGUCAAAGGAUAGGUCAAAUUCAACUUUGACCUCACAAAUUUUAAGGAUAUAAUCCUUAUUUCAAGUAGUCGUCGCACAAUAUUAUGCCUUAAGCGUAUAUGCCUGUUCUUUCCAUUAAAUAUUUUACUCUUAGCCUUAGCCUUAGCAAUUGUAGCUUGGCUAUCACAAUGCAUAGACACAAACAAGGCUAGUCUCGUCCAUGUAGGGAUAUCUGCUAAGAGGUUUCUAAGCCACUCAACCUCAAAACUUGCCUUUUCUAAGGUAAUAAACUCAGUCUCCAUAGUAGACCGAGUAAUGCAAGUUUGCUUGGCAGACUUCCAAGAAACUACACUUCCACCAAGGAUGAAAACAUAUCCACUAGUGGAUUUCAUCUUACCCGAAUCUGAUAUCCAAUUUGCAUCACUAAAUCCUUUAAGGACACUUGGAAAUCCACUAAAGCACAAAUCAUAGUUAAUAGUGCCUCUCAAAUACUUAAGGACUCUACGAACAAUAGUCCAAUGGUCCUUAUUAGGACUUUAGGUGUACUAACUCAAUCUACCUACUGCAUAAGUAAUGUCAGGUCUGGUACAGUUCAUUAAGUACAUUAGGCUCCCUAUGAUAUGAGCAUACUCUAUUUUAGCAACACUAUGUUCUCUAUUUUUCUUCAGUUGUGAGUUGGAAUCAUAAGGAGUUGACAUUGGUUUACAAUCAAAGUGUUCAAACUUCCUUAGGAUUUUUUCAACAUAGUGUUCUUGAGAAAGUUUAAGCUCAUUAGGUGUUCUAGUUAUUUUAAUUUCUAGAAUCACCUUUGCCUCUCCUAGGUAAUUCAUCUCAAACUUAGAACCUAGGAAUUUCUUGUAAGAUAUUCUAUUUUGAAUAUGACAUGUGAAUAGGAUAGCUUCCCCCCACAAGUUCAAGGGUGCUCCUGAACUUACCAACAUUGCAUCAAAGGUUUUAGGACCUAGUUUUCAUUUUUUAGGUUCAGGGAGAAGAACUUUAGCUAAACACCCCCACACUUUCAGGUAUGCUAUAUUAGGUGCAUAACCCUUCCACAACUCAUAAGGAGUUUUACCAGUUUUCCAGGUUGGUAACAGAUGAGAACCAUCUUUUAGUUUUGGGUCAGUCAAAAUGUGUCCCAAGUUCACCAAAUCAAUUGCAAAGAAAACUCUUUCCUGCCAUCUCUUAAAGAAUGUCCCAUUGAAGGGAUCAAUUUUAGAUGUGUCAGGAUGGGUGUGAACGAGAGAAGCUUUUAUUUGGAUCUAUUUCAAGAUUGUUGGAUUUAAGGGUAUGGAAACAAAAGACUGGCCCAAAAGACACAAACAAAGAACAAAAUGAAUAAGAAGGAAAAGCUUAUCGACUGAGGUGUAACAAACACUGUCCUUGAAAUAGAUCCACCCUCCUCGUAGACGAACUCGAUGCACUAGGGUAUUAGUGGUCUACCUCCAGGAUUCAACAACCAGAUCUCGCCUUGGGUGCACUUUGUAAGCUAGAUGUGUACAACUCGGGUUUUGAAUAAACUCCUCUAGAUAGAUGUAUGAAAAGACUCUCUGAAAAACUCUCUAAAAAAUUGGUAUUCAUAUUUAGAGAUAGAGGGGUGACAUGCUUUUAUAGGUCAUUAACACAGUCCUAAUAAGAAUCUACUUGUAAUUAUAAUAUGACUCAAAGUGGAAGGAGAUUCUACUUAUAAAAGGAAUGGGACUCCACUAGCAUAAUCUCAAUAAGACUCUAUCCAAAAAUAUAACACUAAUAGAAUACAAUAAAAUAAAAUAAAUAAUUCUCAAUAGGACUCUUCCCAAAAAUAUAAGACUAAUAGAAUAAAAUAAAAUAAAUUAAAAAAUAAUUCCCAAAAAUAAAAAUAAAAAUUAUUUACGCUCUUCGUACACCUACUUGCUCACUACUGCAGAAACAAAAUAAACAUUAGAUUGCAGCAUACACACGCAUAUAUACAUAGGCACAUGCAGCAUACAUAUUCAAUAUAUAGUACACAAAGAGGGCCAGACUACACAAGCAAAUAGUUCUUAUAUUACAAUCUCGAUCUACUUACCUCAUGUGGAUAAGUUGAGGGGGAUUUUGGUUCUCCAUGGCCUUGGGCUUCCCCAAUGUCCUACCUAGAUACAUCGCACAUUGGAAGCCUGUGCCUAUAUAUGCCUGUUAAUAUAAAUUUUUGAUAAAAUUUCACUCAUCUGCUAUGGGCGUUUCUGCUAAUUCUAUGGGUCCCUUUCACUUUCUGAUCUAACUGAAGUUACCAGUGGGAUAAAAAGUCCAGCAUGCUUGCGCGUUCUGGGAUUCUUUUCCCGCAUACACUAGGCGGUGAUCGGUGUUUGGAGUCAAAAAGGAAAGGGAUCCACUGGACAGGACAAAGGUCGAAAUGAAGAUACAUAAGCCUGUUGUGGGCCACGCACACGCAUGCGAUGACGAAAUGAAGACACACAAGCAUGAUCACGUCAUCCCCCACAAGCAUUGAUGACGAAAUGAAGACACACAAGCAUGUUUACGUCAUCCCCCACAAGCAUUGAUGACGAAACAUGUUUUAAAAAUGAUUUUUAUAUUGUAAAUAUUUGUAUAAUUAUUUUUUUAAAUAGUUUUUUAAAAAUAAGUGAAAAUAAUAUAAAACAAUUAAAAGAUGUCAUAUGAAAUACCUUAUUUUUUAUUCAUAAAAAUAGAAAAUACUUUUUUAUUGUCCAACGUGUUUUCUAUAUUUUUCUUAAAAAUAGUUCCCAAACAGGUCAUAAGAUGUUUUACAAAAUAGUUUUUAAAAAAAAAAAAAAAAAAAAAAAAACUUGUUUGGAUGAAAGAAUUUGUAUUGUUUUUAAAAAAUAAAGUUUUAUUUUUUAUUUUAUAAAUUUACUUUAUAUUAAUAUGAAAUCAAAUUCAAGUUAAGUAUUAUUAAAAGUAAAUAAAUUUAUGAUUAUGUAUGAGUUAAAGAUAAAUAAUUUUUUUAAUUAUGAAAUAUUUUUUUUUAUUCUAGUGAAACAAAAUUAUUAUAAGAUGAAAAUAAUUUUAAUAUUUAUUUUUAAUACAAGUCAAAGUACUUCAAUUAAUUUUUUUUAUGGACAAAAUAAAUAAAUAUUGAAUUAAAACUUAAAAGUAGCUAGAAAAAUAAAAGCUUUCUAGUUUUAUUUUCCUUACAUUUUUCUAUAACCAAAAAACCUAACAUAAGGAAAAAAAAAAUUAAAAAUGAUCUCUUUUUAUUAAUAUUUUUAUAAAAAUUUUCAUCAACUUUUUCUAAUAAAGCUUUCUUCAUUUUUUUUUUUUCAUUAUAUUCUUCUUCUUCCAUUUAAAUUAUUUCUUGAAAGUAUAAAAAGAGAAAUUAUUUAAUAUGCAUUAAAAAAAGGAAAAAAAUAAAUUUAAAUAAAUAUAUAAAUUUGUCAAUUUUAGAGUAUAUCUUUUAUUUUGUUUUAUUUAUAAAUUUUUUUCUCUCCACGUUUCAUUUAUUUUAUUUUAUUCAUAAUUUUUUUUCUCUCCACAUAUCCAUUGGAAUGGCCCAAUAAUACAAAAUAUAGUUUUAUUGCAUGAAUAACUUGGCUUGCACCAAGUUUUUCCAGCCAUGAUUUAAUGAUCUCCCACGAAUUCCACAUAUGAUAAAAUUGAAUUUCGCAAUUUUCAAAUUCCAUUUUUCAUCCCACGUACGACAGCAACUUCUAACCUUCAGACGUGAGUCGAUAGACUCCACAUUGAACAUUUCUGAAAAGAUAAGCCAAAAAAAACCAAUUGGAAAUUAGGAUUGAAUUUCACUUAUUGUACUUUUUUCUAUGCUUUUAUCUUGUUAUUCUACUCGCUUUUUUUCUCUCAAUUUUAUAUAAACCAAAUUACACAUAAAUAUAAUCAAAUUAAAAAUAUGAAUCCAAAUAUCAUCUGAUCAAUAAAUAGAGAAUAUAUCAUAUAAUUUAAUUAAUAAUCAAAUUUAAUUUAAUAAUCAGAUGACUCAAUUAACCAAUUCAUUUAAAAUAAGAUUUUAAAUUAAUCAAAUUAUAAAUUAAAUAUAUUAUGGUUAUACUAUUUAAUUAAAUGAAUCAAACUAUUAAUGAACAAAAAUGAUUAAAUAAGUCACAUUCAUGUUUUGCAAGUUGAUCCAAAAAUUAUUUAUUUAUUAAAUACGUGACGCAAGUGGACACGGAUUUGACAAACACGGAUCUAUUCAAUCAAAACACAUGAAAAAUAUAUUAAGUUGAAAUUGAAUUAACAAAUGGUAUUACAUUUUGUCAUCCCUAACAAAAGUUUUAUGAUCUUUAGUGGAAAUGUUCAAUGGGGAAAUGAGGAGUGGUAUCAUCGAACAUAAGAAACCAACAUAGUGUGAUAACUCGCUGAAAACUAAAAUUUGCUAAAAUUAUAUUUGAUUUUGAGGAAGUUUGGAAGAUAGAAAUUUGAAAAAGUUAUAAAAGAAAGAGAACAAAUUUAUGUUUUUUAUUUAAUUGUGCAUAAAAUAAAAAAAGAAGUUAAAUAUAAGCAUUUUAAUUUGUUUCACAUUCUUUGUUCAAUCUAUUCAAAGUUUUUUGUGUUUGCUUGCUAAGAAAAGUUUCCUUGUUGAGAAAAGUUCUAGCAAAUUUUAUUUUCCCAUUCUUAAGAUAAUGGGAAAAUAUAAGCAUUUUAAUUUUAUUUUCACAACAUUAAGAUAAUUGAAUAGAAAAGCAUAGCCCAUUCUUACCUUGGCUUUUCCAGUGGCAUUCCAUAGCAAUGGUGCCACGUUUGGGAUAAGAAAUACUAAAAAUUUACACAAUCCAAUUUUAUUUACUUUAACUUUAACUUUCAAGUUUUAAUCUUUUUAAAUCUUAAUUAAUUGAAUUAUUUAAUUUUAGUUAUAAUAUGUUUAUAAUAUAAAAUAAAUUGAAAUUUUUAUUUCAUAUUUAUUUAUUAUUUUGUUUAAUGAUUUAAUUAUAAAAAUAUUUUUAUUCUUUAUAAUAAAUUAUAUCCAUUUGGACACAUUUUGCACCUUUUUUUUAAAAAAAAAAUUUUAAAUAGUGUUAACUUUUAUAUAAAAGAUAUAAAUUUAUUUUAAGUUUUUAAAAAUUACUUUUCAUUUUUGUAAAAAAUAAAAAUAAAAAUUUGAAGCCACAAUUUUUUUAAUAUUUUAAUUUGUUUAAAUAGUUUUUACGAGUUAUUGUCUUUAAAAAGUAUCAAAGAGUUGUUAAAUUUUAUGACAAAGUUACUAUUAUUUUUUGUUUUUAAAAACCAAACAACACCUUUAUUAUUUAAUUUUUAAUUAUAUUAAAAAAAAAAGUACUUUAAAUUUUUAGAAUUUUUUAAUAUGUAAGAUUAAUAAUUCAUAUAGAUUAAAUGGUUCAUACAAGAAUCUGUAAACCCCCUAGAAAUUAAAUAAUAAUUAAAAAAACCUAGUGACCACUAUCCCCAUGUCCCCUCUCUUUCUCUCUCCAUCUUCAUUUCCUUACUCUCUUACUACCACCUCUACCUCUCCAUUCACGAUAGCAUUGUUGUCAACUCAUCUCCUUCAUUCUACCUCCCACCAUGGUUUUAAAAACCGAAUUGGACAAGUCGGUUUGAUCAAUCUGACCGGUCUGUCCGUUGACUAGUUUGAUCGCCGGUCGGUCACCGUUUUGGUUCAAUUUGGUGCUUUGAACUAUCUAAGCUUUAGACUAGCCCCAAAUCAUCGAAACCCACAAUUGGACUAAUGAACCGACUGAAUUGACCGAUUCCCCAUGAAUAAAACGAUUCAACAAUUUUUUUAAAAAAAAUCAAAACGAUGUCAUUUUGGCUUACUAUAAAGCCUUUUAUUCCCCCAACAACCUUAGACUUCUACCCCUCAAACCUCCAAUAGCCCCACCCCACACCUCCAACCUCCAACAGCCCCACCCCACACUUCCAACCUCCAACAGCCAUUGCCCCUUGCUACUCUCCACUUGGAGCAUGCCAGAGCUAACUAAGACACCGACUUGGCUGACAAUCCUCUUCCAUAAUGAGUUGCAAAGUUUCAAGUUCCACUGUUGCAUUUAAAAUUUUUAUUUUAAAUAUUUAAUAUUUAAUUUUUUUUAUUGCAUUGUUGCAUAUUUUUAAUAUUCAUUGAAUCCAUUGAAUCAUUUUUAUUUUCUACAUUUUGUUUAGAAUCUUUAAAUUAUAUAUUUUGUGUUAUUUAUUUUUAUUUUAAAUUAAUUUUUAAAUUUUCUUAUUUGAGUUUAAAUUUAGGCAGAAUUUAUUAUUUUUAUUUAAAAUUUUUAAUGAUUUUAAUAAUAUAUCAAAUAUAUAUUUAUGACGUCACCGAUUCAACUAUCGAUUCGAUUAGUGAAUCAUAAAUUGGUAACUUUUCUGGUUCAAUGUUCGGUUUGGUUCUAAAAAUAUUGUCUCCCACACACUCUCUUUUUUUCUUACCUAAUGCAACCAUAAUCGGUCUUUUUUUUUUCUCUCUCUCUCUCUUUCUCUUUCUUUUUCACUCUCACCCUAUUAAGCCAACAUGAUAAAUUGGUUUUCUUCUCUAUUAUUGCAUCUUUCUAUUUGUUUAUUAGAAUUUUUUUUCUUUUAAUUUUUGUUUGUAAAGCUACAUCUUUUUAUCAAGAGAUUAACAUGUGUACAACUUUUCCACUGUAUAUAUUAAAUAGGCAGCCUUACAUAGUUUAUUAUAAACGAGCCAUUCCAACAUUUCCUUUGUUCAUCAUUUUCUAAUUUUUUUUUUCUUUACCUUUCUAUUUUGAUUUGGUAUCAGAGCCCUUUCAAUCCAGAUGGAUUCUUCUCCUUCAACCCUUACUUUUACUCAAGAAAACUCUCAAAACCCUAACCAACAACUAGAACACUCAAUUCAUGUUUCUAAUCCUCCACCAUUUCUUUAUCAAAUCCACCUCCAGAUUCAAAAUUAGUUUCCUCUUUCAUGUUUCCAACAAACCUUUCCAACUCUCAAUCAACCUCUCAAUAUUAAGCUAGACAAAGACAACCACUUGCUCUGGAAAAAUCAACUUUUGAAUUUUAUAAUCACCAAUGGGUUUGAAGAUUUCAUAGAUGAAACCAAUGUUCCUCCUCCUCUCUUCAUAGAUCCAAAACAACAAAUUGUCAAUCCCCAAUUUCUGAUGUGGCACCAUCUCAACUGACUUCUUAUAAGUUGGUUAUAUUCCUCAGUCACAAAAAGGAUGCUCAAUAGAAUCACCGAACUCACCACAACCUUGAAGAUCUGAAACACUCUCGAGAGAACCUAUGUUGUAGCAUCUCAUUCUCGUGUCCUGGAGCUUUGCACUGAAAUUCAAUCAAUCAAGAAAGAUGGUCUCAUAUAUGUUCUUAAGCUUAAGAAUAUUGCAAAUAAGUUGGCUUCCAUUGGUGAACCUGUCUCAGAUAGAGAUCAAUUGAUUUACCUAUUUCAAGGUUUGGGAGCUGAGUACAAUCCCUUUGAAACAUCUUUCAAUGCUAGAUUUGAUCAACCAAUCAUAGAGGAGGUUCAUAGCCUUCUUUUAAGCUUUAAUCUUAUACUACAGAGGCAAAAUAUUGUUGAACAAUUGAAUGUGAAUAUGGCUUAAGCUAAUCUUGUUGCAUUUGCUAAAAAGAAACCCUUCAAGACAAACCAACAAAACUCUCAAAACUCUCCCUUAAAAUCUCCACCUCAACCUUACUACAACCCACAAAACGAGAAUUUCUUCCCACAUGGUAACAAAAAUUUCUUCACUCCAUAGAACAACCAAAUCAACCCCCAAUUUCAAGUUGGAAUUCUUGGAAAACCUUAAGGACCACAAGUUUAGGGAAAAUGGCAACAACGUCAGAAUUUUCAAGCUAUAGUUUUUCCAAUUUUAGGCCUACCCUUUGAUUUAUUCCAAUUUCGCAAACUACGCAAUUAGCAUAAUGUUUUUUAAGCUUUAGAAAGGGAUACGUGGUAGUUUAUGUAGUUACCAAAAUCAAGUAGUUCUAAAGUGUUAGGUUGGAUACAACCCAUCUAGAGAAUUAAAAGGCAUAGAUGAUAUCUAUUCAUAUUCAUUCAUUCAAUUGAAUCAAUAACAAUUAAUCAAUCCAAAUAUAUUGAUACAUUUCAUUGCAUGAAUAAAAACAUUUCAUUCAUUCAUCCCGUAAGGUCAUGGGAUGAACAAAACAACCCUACAAAACAAAGUUAGCACACCCUAGAACAAAUUUAACAUGCUAAAGCCUACCUUAGGGCUCUAAUGCCAGUUGUUGGAACCCUAGAUCACCCUAUUCUUAUGUCCUAGAUCCCAUAGGGUGCAUGAAAAUCUAUCCUAAGCUCUUUAAAUCUAUCACAGUGGAAAACCAGGUACUCAAAAAAAUAAUAUUGAUACCAUAGAAAUCAUAGAUCUAGAAAAUAAAGCCACAUAUCUUUGAUCUGAAUGUUCCCGAAUCAAUUCCAAUCGAUGUACAUAAUUUCAAAGUCGUAAUGGAUCUUGCAAACACCAUGAUCUUCCACCCGAUGACUCUUCCUUGUGUCUAGGCACUAAGAUGGUGGAGAUCUUAAGGGUAGAGGUUAGGGUUCUCUCUCUAAACUAUAAGGAGAAAAUGGCAAAACAUGGAAACGCUAACCCCUAAAGGGGUAUUUAUAGGCUUGCUAUUGGGCUUAAGUGACUUAAGCCCACCAUAGGCUUGGGUCACUUAAUCUAGCCCAAAAAUAUUGUUCAUUAAUUAAUUAACCAUAUAAGGCCUUAAUUAAUCAAUUAUCUCAAUCUAGAGAUACCACUCACUUAUCCUUAUACAACCUUGUAUAAUUACCAAAACACCUUUAUAAAGUGAACUAAAAACUCAUUCAAUCCUUAUAAACCAUACCAUAAAGGAAUAUGAGCUCAGAGUAGGGACCACUUGGACCCAUAGGAGUAUUGGCUCUCUCAUAAACAAAUUCUGAAAUUGAUUCAACAUCUCACUACAGAGAGUCAACUACACUCUAAUACCCUAUGUAUAUUACAUGAGCCACCAAGUGCUUGGGUCCAUGACCUACUAUCCACUACAUGCAACCUCCCCAUGAAUUGGUGUUAGUUAUCUAACAAGGUAGUGUUAUCACUUAUCAAAAUUACAUCCCAAAUCCUUGAAUUAUAGAUCUCACUUAUUAUGUGAUCAACUAACAUACUCUAACUCCAAGAAGCAUAUUUCAAAUUCCACUACAGAAGUUUUGUGGUCACAAAUUUCAUAAUCACAUGUCCUUUGGAUCACCCAAGGGAACACACUGUCUCAAUCCCAUGAGAUAUCACGGUACCUCUAUUGAAAAUACAUAUUGCCACCAGUCUCCAUCAAUAGUCACUUAAUCCUUAGGGAUAUAUAACCACUUUAGGGCCUCACCCAUAGGCCAAAGCCUCUUGUUGAUUUUGCCACAGGCUCAAUAUUCUCUUAAGAUUAAGAGCCUAUGUAGUAUAGUAGCUUGGUGAAUCAUGACAAUUGAUAGCCUUACGUCAUGAUUCAUCGUAGGUCCUGCCUAGUAUGCAUCACAUACACUAAUGCACUCACCAUAAGAAACCUAUCUCAACGGCCAAGACAAGUCAUCUCUCCAAUUAUGAGGUGAUGCAGUACAGUCUUUAUUAGAUUGCCCAAAUCCAUGAACCGACUAUGGAUAACUUAUCUACUUAUAAGGAACCUAUCACUAUAUCUUCUGUACAAAUCCUAAUGCACACAAGUCAUGUACAAUGUAAAAGACAUGUGUUGCAUGCUCAAAUCAAUGUCUAUAUACUGAAAUGAUAGUAAUGGGACAAUUAAGUUUAACUUUGUUACAUCAUGUCUUGCUUUUAGGGUUUUAAUCCUAAUAGAAUCUAAAGGUCAAAUCCACAUAUGGAUAUGGGUUUUUGAUUGAAUAAAAUUAAAAAACAAAAUUAACCACCGUCUCUAAUUAUCAUAAACGUAAGUUUUUCAUCAUUUUGGUCACCUUUGAGUGGUUUGACCCAAAGUCACAAAUUUUGAUCUCUUUUUCAACUAAUUUUGGCUUUCAGAAACCAUAGUCGUUAGUUAUUCAUUACAUCCAUAACCCCGAGCUUUUCAUCACAUCAUAGCCCUAAAUUGUUCAUUUCGUUAUGUUCACAACCCUAAGUUGUUCAUUCAUUCAUUUGUAACUUAGAGUUAUUCAUUGCAUUUGUACUCACAUUUUUAUCAUACUAUUCUAAAGUUUCUCUUCCCUCAUUUCAUACGACACUGUCUUUUAAGCUUAUAGUCGUGUUUCAAUUGUAUUACUUAGUGCUCUUUGCCUUGUGCCCUUGUAUAGUGCACAUGUAGAUUUCCAUUUUUAUGUGUUGUUCAUGUGCUCCUUGGUGGUCCAACUGCUACUCAACUUUGGCAUCAAUCUUUGAACUACUUUUAGAGACCUUUUUUAAGGAGUCUCAGAUCUACAGUGUAACUUUAGAGGCACCUUAAGAGUCUUAUUUCCUUGUCCGACCUUUUGUUACUUCUUUUUAGAAGUUUUUAGUUUCCCUUUCUUUUGAUUUAAAUGAGUUUGUGUUCUACUAGGAAAAUUUGCGUGAUCUUUCUUGCUCUUUAGCAUAGUUUACUUCAUUUCGUUCAUUAUCUACACUUUCAUUUCACUCCAACAUUCAUAUUUAUUACACUCAUGCUAACAAAGAGGGGCACAUUCCUCACUUUAUCUCUCUCUCAUGACCAUCUCCACCUUUUCAUUCAUGCCAUCAUAACUAUUAACUCAUCUCUUUCAUUCCACCCUUCACAUACUCUCUUUCUUCUUACCCACUACAAUCAUAACUUGUCUCUCUCUCACAUCUAAACAUCUAUCUCACUCUUCCAUCUUCCCUCUUCUCUCACUUUUCUUCUCUAUUAGUUCAAUUACACCACUACCCAUAGCGUCUCCAGCGAAUCCACCAUUCUACAGCAAGGAGGACUUCCACCACCUAAUUCAUCUACUUUGGUAAUGAUGACAACAACAUCUACUCUUGCUUCAUGGACCUCCAAUUUCUCUUCUACAUCCAUUAAUUUCCUUCACCAAUCUCUUUUUCUAAUCCACAUGAAUAUCCAUGGGUCCACACCAUCAACUUCUUCUCUCACCCUUUAUCUUUAGUAGACAUCCACCAUGCUAGCAUAACCAUUUUCGUGCCACGCACCGCCACCACUACCUCUCUGUCCAUACUACCGCCAUCUAUAGGAGCAACUCAUACCCACCUUCACCAAUCAUAUAAAGGGCAUCUUCUCUGUAACUCUCCCUAUUGAUACAACUACGCCUCCUUUAUUGACCACACACCUUUAUCGUAGCAUCGCUUCUCUAACAAUCCAUCACCACCACCUCCCAUGGAGACUUUUCUUCAUUUCUAGAGGCAUGGGUAAGCUUCUUUGUGUUGAUUUGCAUAGUGUUUGUUUUUGGGAUUGUAUCAUUCAAGCCUUUUGGGCCUUGGUAUUCAACUCUUAUUUACUAGGUUUACAUAUAUAUUUAUUAUUGGGCUUCAUUUCACAUUACUUGGCCUUUGCAUUUUGGAUAAUGAUUUAGGUUUAUUGGAUUUUGAAAUUUUGAAUUGCAUUAUUUGGGCCUAUCAAAUUGGAGGUUCACUUAUUUGGGUUGGACUUGAUUUACUCUUUGGACUCUGGGCUUACAUGUUUAUGAUUUGGGUUUGUCUUAUUUUUUAUGCAUGGGUUUAUUGUUGGCAAUUUUUUUGGCUAAGCAUGGAUAUAUGACACGUGGAAGGCUAAAUUUCAUUGAAGAAAAAUGGAUGCUCAAGAGGCUUAUAAAAGGUAUAAAGCCCUAGGCAAAAAGGGGUGUGAGAUGGCUCUCACUUAUCUUUAAUUUGUUUCUAUUUUUUUUUUUUUUUUUUUGGUGAGAGUGUAUUGUUUUGUAUCAUUGGAGUACUAUUGAAGCUUCACUGAAAGCCAUGGAAAGCAUUAAUUGCAUUUGGGUAGAGUUCUCAUUCCUCACCUUUUUAUUUUAGUUUCAUUUUCAUUUUUUUGGAGAUUUUUUUUUUCAUAAUUUCAACUUGUUGUAUAUUUGUUAAUUGUAUAUAUCCUGGUAGUUGACCAUUCCUUUUUUUUUUCUAUAAACAUUCCGUUUAUAUUUUCUUAUUCGAGUUUUGACUUCUGUAAAUAUUUUAUCCAUAAAUAUUCCUUUCAAGUUCUCUAUUCAUAUGCUAAUUUGCAUUAGAUUUUCUGUCAGUGUAUUAAUGUUGUUGAUGUUGUCUAUAUAUGUCGUGGGCAGUUCUUUCCUUUUUUGUAUUAUUAUUAUUAUUGAUCAUUAAUUUAUUUGUAUUAUCUAUAUCAUAUUGUUCUUUUGUUAUCUUAUUUAAUAAAUUGUUUAUAAAUGUUUUUAAUAAAUUGUUGAAAUAUUUUUAAUAAAACUAUUUAAAAAAACGAUGUAGACUCUUUUUUAAACCAAAGGUUUUUUUUUCUUUUUAUUUUUUACCACGCGGGAGGAGUUGGAGAGUUGAACUUUUCAUUUGAAGUGGGGGACGGUUUCCAGGAGCAAGCUGCAUGGACGUGUGGUAAAGACGUGACUUACCAUAGUGGUGGUUGAAAGUGGUGACAUCUUCCCUGAACAAGGAGCAAUGGAGUGGGUAGCAGCUUACGGGGGAAGGAAGAAACAGUGGGAUGGAUGGGAGCUUGGAGGGCAAGAAAAAGACAGGACAAAAGAAAUAAAGAAACUAGAAAAACAGAAGAGGGGAAGUUUUUUUUUAAGAAUAAGAGAAACUGGAAAAAAAGAAAGAAAAAGAGGGGCCCUGAAGGAUUGAUGGGAGAGGGACGUGUGAGAGAGUUUUUUUAGCAAGUGAGGAUGAGAAAUAGGAGAGGAAAAAAGGCUGGAAAGGGAAAAGGAUUCUGGAGAAAACGAAAACAAAGCUUGGAGGAGCACUUUCAGGUUGACGAUGUUCUUGAGUUAAAGCUAAAAAGGCAACUUCAACUUGACAUGGAUAAGGGGACUUGUCCGCCAUGAGAGAAGUGAAGAAGAAGAUUCACUCAUUUCUUUCCAUCCACCCCAACACGUGUCUUUCUCCAUUCUCCUUUCCAAAUUCUCAGCUCUCCUAAAAUAGCUACCUCCUCAGCCUCCUCAACUCCUCACCAAUUCAUCUAACUUUUUGUUAUUUUUGCCUCUCAAUUUAAGUUUUGAUCCGCCCCACCAUUUUCUUUGGUUCUUCCUCUUUGGUAAGGACCCUAUUUUCUUCUUUAUUAUUAUUAUUUUUUCAUUUGAUUCUGAAGCCCUAAUUUCAAUAAUCCUAUUGUUUUUAAUUUUUAGAAUAAUUUCUUCAUGGAUUUUGUGUUUAUUAAUUCAUUUCUAUGAUUUGUUUAUGAGCAGUUGGUUCAUACAUGAAUCUCUUGGCUUGAACGUUACUUGGUUUUUUUUGCUCUUCUUCUUGUACCAUUUUUAUUAAUUUUUAGUUUCAAAACGAUGGGUGUGUACCAAUCGGAAUUUCGUUUCAAUAUAAUCAUGGGUCGAUACUCAUUGAUGAAUUUCUUAGGUUUAAGGUUUUAAUAUUGGUUUAAAGUUUCAAAUUCUUUAAUUUUUUUAGUGAAAACAAUGUUAUCUGCGGCUCUUGUACUUGCCCAAUUAACAGUAAGGCAAUAUUUUCUCACAACCAUUUUCAUUCCCAACCCGGAUUGUUUUCAAGCAAAUCAAUUCUGAUUUGUCUAGCGUUUUCGGGUUCAAUGAUUCCAAUGCGUGUAAUGGGGUUUAUUUCAAUUGAGGUUGUGAAACUUAGGGUCCAAAAUUGUAGAGGGUUUGUUGUGAAGAAACAGAAAUUGGUUUGUGGAAACAGAGAAUUGGCAAGAAGCAAUUCUUUUGUCCAGGACUAUGGGGUUUCAAAUGGGAAUGUUUUUCAUAUUGUUCUCAAGCUCUCUAAUCUACAAAUCAUCAAUGUUAGAACUGCAUAUGGAGAAGAGUAUACUUUCCAUGUUGAGAGGUCCAAGGAUGUGGGGUAUGUUAAGCAGCAAGUUGCUAAGAAGGGGAAAGGUUUGGUCGAUGUUGAAGAUCAAGAAAUAGUGUGUGAUGGCAAGUGGGUUGAUGGAAAAUGGGUUUGCUGCUGUUGUAUUUGAGAUAACAAAUAGAGUUGAGAAUAAGGAUGAACACGUGAAGAAAUGAAAUUCGAGAUGAGGGUCCCGCAAGCUUAAUUUAAAUUUGAUAUUGCAUAUAAAAUAUACGUUGAAGUGGCUGGCCAUGCAUGACCACCUUCUAAAUACGACUCCCCGAGCCAUGUGUCACCCUCCUAAUUCAUUUUUUUUUAUGUUAAAAAAAUGAUCUUUUUAAAAAUUCUAUUCUUAAAUAAUUUUCUGAAAUUCAAAUUUUAAAAUUUAAUUUUCAAAACUUCUGUUUUCAAAUCACUUUCAAAAUUCCAAUUCUUAAAUUUAAUUUUCAAAUUUUCAUUUUCAAAUAAUUUUCGAAACUCCAAUUCUUAAAUUUAAUUUUCAAAACUCUAAUUCUAAAAUAAUUUUCAAAUUUCCAAUUUCUCUCAAAUUUAAUUUUCAAAACUCCAAUUCUCAAAUAAUUUUCAAAAUUCCAAUUCCUUCCAAAUUUAAUUUCCAAAGUUCUAAUUCUUAAAUUUAAUUUUCAAAACCCCAAUUCUCAAAUAAUUUUCAAAAUUCCAAUUUCUUUCAAAUUUAAUUUCCAGAAUUCCAAUUCUUAAAUUUAAUUUUCAAAACUACAAUUCUCAAAUAAUUUUCAAAUUUCCAAUUUCUUUCAAAUUUAAUUCCCGAAAUUCCAAUUCUUAAAUUUAAUUUUAAAAACUCCAAUUCUCAAAUUAUUUUCAAAAUGCUAAUUUCUUUCAAAUUUAAUUUCCAAAAUUCUCAUUCUUAAAUUUAAUUUUCAAAACUUCAAUUCUCAAAUAAUUUUCAAAAUUUCAAAUUUUCAAAUUUAAUUUCCAAAACUCCAUUUCUUAAAGUUAAUUUUCAAAACUCCAAUUUUCAAAUAAUUUUCAAAAUUCCAAUUUCUUUCAAAUUUAAUUUCCAAAACUCCAUUUCUUAAAGUUAAUUUUCAAAACUUCAAUUUUCAAAUAAUUUUCAAAAUUUCAAUUUCUUCCAAAUUUAAUUUCCAAAAUUUCAAUUCUUUAAUUUAAUUUUCAAGACUCCAAUUUUCAAAUAAUGUUCGAAACUUCAAUUUUCAAAUAAAUUUCAAAACUCUAGUUUUCUUUCAAAUAGUUUUAAUUCCACUCUAGUUUUCAAAUAUUUUUUUAAUUCUAGAACUUUCAUCCUUUAUUAGAGCUUUAGGUUGCCAAAAAUCCUGAUUUUAAUAAGCCUACUACCAUUCUCAUUUUGCUAUGCACUUGUACAAAUUUUCUUCGAUUUUCAAAUAAUUUGUUGUUUCUCUUGAUUUUAAAUAAGCAAUAAUGAUUUUCAUGAUUCCAAAACAAUGGAAUUUGUGGGAUUAAUUAAUGCAAAAUCAAUUGGGCUUUGGUGGGGGCCCUACAUAUGAGUUUUCUCUUCUGAUUGUCAAUUGCUAUGCUUAAUGAAUAUCGUUUGAUCUUGCUCUUUGAUAUGCAUGUGAUAAUUUUAUACUUGAGCUAACCUUGUUUCAUGAUAGUGUUUUAUUAUCUAUUGCUAAGGUACGCUCUCACUGUCAUUUUGUUUAUUUAUUCGUCAUUAUAACUUGUUUUUGAUCCAUGAUCAUUUUGAUAUCCAUUGAUCUCCUAGUUAAUUGUCACAAUUACUUCACAUUAUUUAGUAGAAACCCAUUUUUAAGGGCUUAGAGGGGUGUUACGGUCUUUACCAUACCUUCCCAAUAAGCAACCUGAUCCCUAAACCCAGACUCGAUUUUUCAUAGACCUGUUUUUUCCUUCAGGAGUCACACUUAGGGUUUUUCUUUCUUAUUUUGUUUUUUCCUUCAAAAAUAAAAUAAAAAUAAGUGGCGACUCCAAGUCUUUUUCUAAAAAUCAAAUUUUCACCAAACCAAAAAAAACAAGUUUCACCAUCGAAUGGGAACGCAUCAAGCGAAAUACGGGGUCCACAAAAUGGAAACUUUGCUGGGAAAGUUUAAAGGAUCAAACUUGAACUUAAGAUGAGGCAAAUGUGGCGUUUGAUUAGUCGAUUGAUGGAUACCUUCCCUUUGUGCUUCUCUAUGCUUAAGUGAUCAUAACACAUUGAGGAUUUUGAUGCGAUGAUUUUCCAUGCUUGAUCGCUAUAUCCAUUUGGGGCAUUGACAUGGUGAUGAUAUUGAUUGAUCCGCUUGCUUGUCUUAGCAUAUUGAUUUUGCUCUAGCCAUGAUUAUCUUGCUCACUUUGACAUGUAUGUUCACUUUGUUGUAUCUCUUAUUUGUCUUAGUGUUGAUUAUCUUGCUUUUAUAUUAUCUUGAUCAUAUUUGAGCAUGCUAUCCUUGUUGCUAUUCAUUUUGAUUGUCAUAUUCUCGUUUAACUUGUGUGUGGACAUGGAUGAUAUACUUGCACUCUUCUUGACCGCUCUUCUCCUGUGUGUUUGUAUGUUGUUUGUUUGUGUGGGUCGCACAUUUAUCCUCUUUACCUCUAACCCUCUGGUUUCGGUCAUUUCUUUCCUUUCAAUUCUCAUAUUGGCAAGUGUGAGGCCUUGUGUGUACUUGUUUCUUUGAUUAAGCUAGUAGUUAGGAGUAGGGUCUAGCGACGAGCUAUAUCGAUGUUUGGGAGCAUUCUGGAGGAGACCAACACAUUGAUGCUGAUUGGAGUCCGAUCUUUGAAGACCUGUAUAACCCAGAGCUAGGUUUCAUGGAUAUUUGUGUGACCAAUGUGUUUCUUUUUCUACUUUAGCUUCAUAGGUUUUUCGGAUGCACCCACACCACUCACUGUGCACUUUAGUUGACAAUUGAGUGCUGAGAGUUGCGAGAGCUUUCACUAUAGGAAAACCCCCUGGGAUGCAAGGUAGUGCCUGUGUGGAGGUGAUGACCACCUUGGAUGGAAACACCUCGUCUCUUCGGAGGCAUAUAGAGGGUUGCGUAUCACUGGAGGUUAUGAUCACUUCUGCUAAGGAUCCUUUAAAGUUCACUCCUCUUCUUUUUAGAGUCACCUUGACCUUGUAGGUUGAGCCUUAGAUUCUUCAAUUAGGAUUUCCUUUCCUACACGUGGGUGCAUCUGAGGGCCUUCAGAGCCUCUUUAGUUACAGUUCAGAUCCAGUACUUCCUCAUUUGGUUUCCAGUUGAGAGUGCUUAGAUAUCAAUAUGAGUUUGAGUUACAAUUGGACCAUCCUGUCGCUUUAUGUUGGCCUUGUUUCUUCCAAUUCAGAUUAGCAUUUCUUCCAUGUUUUCCCUAUGCAUACCAUAUCUCGUGUUUCAUGCUCUUCAUGAUUAGUUCUUCAUUCUCAGUGUGCAUUAACCAUUUUGGGUCAGAAUAGAGAGGAUAUUAGUUCAAUUUUGUGAGAGAUCAGGCAUGGAUCAGCAGACUGUCACUAUUGACCAGUUCACGACCGCCACAAUUGACCAAUUCACAACCGUCGUGGCUUCUAUUAAGGAGGCCUUAGCUAGUCUCAGACAGGAGAUAAACAGUUAACAGAGUAGACAACCCGUAGUUCAGGAUGAGACGCCUCAUGAUUCAUUGCCACCUCCACCACCACUACUUGGUCCGACAGUGCCACAGACCCCACCCUAUCUAUUACAUGGUCAUUCUGAGGUUUUCCCACCUGCAGUAGUACAAACCACAAUCCUUGAGGAUACUCACGCAUGCAUGGAUCGUAUUAAGCAGCGUAUCAGGCAGUUGAGGGUAUCUGACAGUUCAACAUCUUGGAAUGAACUUAAGGGUCAUUAAGGGUUGAUUAGAGAUCCUAGAAGGAAAUUCAGACCUAGUUGGAGCGGACCUUAUUUCAUCAGGGAGCUGACCCCAGAAGGUGCUGCAUGGUUGAUGGAUCUAGAUGGAAUCCGAUUCUCGAAGCCAAUUAAUGUAGAUCAGCUGAAAAAGUAUUAUGUUUGAGACCAUGGUCGUAGGAUGGGUGGUCAUCAUUUCGGUUAGCCAUAUACCUUGUUAUUCACUUUUGACGUAUAGACCGUUGCUAGCCCAUUGAGCUUCGCAUGUGCAUCAGAGUCUUUCUUUCUUAUUUCCUUGCUAACAUUUCUACACCGGGAUAGGGGCCCUUUGGUGUAUGCAUGCUUCAUUUAGGAGUUUUGUGAGCCUUAGGCCUACGGGCACAUCUUUCUCUCAUUAUUUUUCCUACCAUCACACUAUUGCAUUCCAUCAUAUCUCAUUGGUUAUGUUCUUCAUCUCUUCUCCUUUAUUCUAUCUACUACUUGUUUUGCUUCAUAUUCUCUCCACCCUGAGUGGUGAUCCUCCUUAGUUCAUUACAUGGAGGAUAGUCACAUCAUUUCUACUAUCUAUCCUAUGGACACUGAUUCAGAGAUCCUUAGUUUGAGAAGGUCGUCUUGUUAAAGAGAGUUUGUUACUUUAGCACUUGAGUAUGAUUGUUGGUGAGAGUUCGUAUGUGAGCUUUAUGAGAUCCUCUUUUCUUUGUAUUCACUUUGUCAUAUCUUUUUUAGAAUGAGAUGAGUGACCUUCUCCUAGGAGCUUUGGGUCCUUAUCAUUUCCAUCAUUACAUUCAUUGUUGAUGUGACUUCACUCCAUGUUUGAUUUGAGUUGAUCAUCACUUUUCCUCGUAUAUUCAUUGUUUCGCUAUCAUCCUUGUCAUUGCUUAUGAUUCAUCCCAUUCGCUUCACCCCUUCCCCCCCCCCCCCCCCUCUGUUCUUUUCUUACACUGACUUAUGCCAGUUUGACAUUUCCUUUGCAUCAUUCUUGAGUAUCUCAUUACUAGUUUGAUUUGUUUCAUCGUCUCAUUAUUGAUAUUAUAUUCAUACUAGGCACCCUCAGGUCCAUGGCUCACGAGCUUUUCUAUACAUGUUGCAUUUUACACAUGGGGGGGCAUAGGUUUUUUAUCAUUGGGUAUUUGGGCCUCGUUUCCCUUCAUUUCUAUUACCAUAUCACCCUAGCCUACAUUACGUCCCAUGUCUUAAGACCACCUUGAGGCCAUGGGAUCAAAUGUCGUCUUCAACAACCCCUACUUGGAUAGGUAUCUGAGAUUUGGUUGAUAUUUAGAUAUCAUCAUGCUUCUUCUUAUGGGAGACGUCUUUUUUAUGUUUGGACUUGAUUCAGAUAUGGAUGACUGGGAUUGCACAUUUGAUGAUGGAUGAUCCGAUGUUGUCUAAUUGUUUGAUCUACCAUACAUCUGAUGCCAUACUGGGGCAUAUUUUUCUUUCGAUUGAGAUUUAUAGAUCUUCAUGGAGUCACAUGAUCCUCAUCACUCAUGAGAUGCAUGUCGAGUUGAUGGUCUAUUGUUAUCUUAUCGUGAUCCCUCAGUGGAGUCUUUUUGGGCCAUUCAGUUAGGCUCACGCUUUUUAAUAUUUAGAUGUCACGUCUUUGAUAUUUGGACUUGAUUCAGUUGUGAAUAUGGAUGACUGGGAUUACACAUUUGAUGAUGGAUGAUCUGAUGUUGUUUGAUUUUUUGAUCUACCAUACAUCUGAUGUCAUACUAGCACAUAUUUCCUCUUUGGUUGAGAUUUAUAGAUCUUCAUGGAUUUGUAUGCCCACCCCCACUUACGAGAUGCGUGUCGAGUUGAUGGUCUACCGUUAUCUUAUCAUGAUCCCCUAGUUGAGUCUCUCUUAGCCCAUUCAGUUAGGCUCACACUUGUUAAUAUUUAGAUGUCAUCAUGUUUCUUCUUCUAGGAAGCGUCUCUUUGAUGUUUAGACUCAAUUCAGUUGUCAACAUGGAUGACUAAGAUUAUACACUUGGUGAUGCAUGAUUUGGUGCCAUUUGAUUUUCCGACCUACCACAUAACUGAUGUCAUACUGGGGCAUAUUUCCGUUUUGGUUGAGAUUUGUAGAUCUCCAUUGAUUUGCAUGAUCAUACCCAUUUACGAGAUAUAUGUUGAGUUGAUGAUCUGCUUUUAUUUUACGAUAAUUCUCUAGUGGAGCCUUUCUUGAGUCAUUCAGUCAGGCUCAUACUUUAUGAUAUUGUCAUGAUUCUUGGAUGGAGUCAUCUCAGGUGCAUAGACUCCUAUAUCAUCGUUUUAGUAUAGUACAUGUCAGAUCUCUUAUACGUCCCCAUUGAGUUAUUCUCGAGUAAUCAGGAUGGACCGGAAGCACUAUUUUCCCUCUUUUAGUUGUAGAGAUGAUUGUUUUCUCACAGACUCGUUACAGUCUUUAUUACUCGGACAAGAGAUAUUUAUUUGCACUACUAGUCACUGUUUCGAUGAUUUUUGUUAAGAUGAGCCUCCAAACAAGCAUGAUAUUUGGGGUUUGACUGUCCCAUUAUCCAUGACUCUUUAGUAGAUUGUUGUGUUGAGAUCGUGGUAGUUACUUUAUUGGACUAUUCUCUUGAGACUCCUCAUUGGAUCAUUCUUUUGAUACGACGAUGGAUUCCUCCAACAGAGCAUUGUGAGUUAAAGACGUCUGACUUAUUGUGGCACUUCGUUAGACCUCACGACUUAGUCAGAUGGGUUGUGAGGCCAUAUUUAUAGUCUAUUUGACCAUUCUGACUCACUAGAGGAGUGUCUUUUGGGACUCAUGGAGUCCAUUUCACUAAACUGAUAGUUGUGGCAACACGCUACAUUGGGGCAUAUUUUCCCUUCAUCAUUUCCUUGCAGCUCAGUGUUCAAAGUUGUCGUCCAUUCUCAGUUAUGACAUUCAGAGUCUUUCUUUUCAGUACGACGUUCAGAGCCACCAUCCCUAUUUAGUUUGGCAUUCAGAGUCACCUUCUCAUUACAAUUUGGCAUUUAGAGCCACCAUCUCCUUACUGUUUGACGUUCAAAGCCACAAUCUCUUUUUAGUUUACCGUUAAGAGCCACCAUCCCUUCUUAGUUACGACGUUCAGAGAUGCCAUAUCUUCUCAGUUACGAUGUUUAGAGUCGUUCUUUUCAAUUUGGUGUUCUGACCCACCAUCUUUUUUUAGUUCGAUGUUCAAAGCCACGAUCUCUUUUCGAUUUGACGUUUAAAGCCACCAUCUCCUUAACAUUUGGCGUUUAGAGCCACUAUCUCUUCUCAGUUACGACAUUCAAAGUCGUCCUUCUCAGUUCGAUGUUCAGAGUCAUUCUUUUCAGUUUGGCAUUCAAAGUCAUCAUCUCUCUUCAGUUUGGUGUUAAGAGCCAAUUCGUUCAGAGCCUCCAUAUCUUCUCAAUUAUGGCGUUCAGAGCCACCAUUUAUCAAUUUGGCGUUCAAAACCACAUCUUCAGUUUGGCAUUUAAUGUCUUUGCUUGUUUCUAGUUCAGUAUUCAGAGCCAGCAUUCUCAUUACAAUUCGGCGUUCAGAGCCACCACAUCUUCUCAGUUACGAGUUCAGAGUCGUCCUUCUCAGUUUGGGGUUCAAGGCCACCAUCUCUUUUCAGUUUCAACGUUCAAAGCCGCAUCUCUAGUUUCGGCGUUCAAAGCCACCAUCUCUUCUCAAUUUGGGCGUUCAGAGUCACCAUCUCUUUUCAAUUUAGCAUUCAGAGCCACCAUCCCUUUUUAGUUACGGCGUUCAAAGCCGUCAUAUCUUCUCUGUUGCAACGUUCAAAGUCAUCCUUCACAAUUUAGCCUUCAGAGCCACUAUCUCUUCUUAGUUUCGGCGUUCAGAACCACCAUCUCUUCUCAGUUUGGGCAUUCAGAUCCACCAUCUUUUUUCAGUUUAGCGUUCAAAGCCACCAUCCCUUCUUAGUUACGGUGUUUAGAGUCACCAUAUCUUCUCAGUAUGACGUUCGGAGUCGCAUCUCCAAUUUGGCGUUCAGAGCCACAUCUUUCGUUUGGUGUUUAGAGCCAUUAUUCGUUAUUGACAUUCAGAGCCUUCAUUUUCUUCAGUUUGGCGUUCAGAUUUGUGUCUUCAUUUUGGCAUUCAAAGCCGUUGUUUAGCUUGGCAUUCGGUGCCACCAUCUUUUUUUGGUUUUAGCGUUUAGAGUUGUUAUGCAUACUCAUUCAAGUAUUUAGAGUUACCAUCUUCCCUCAUUUUGAUGUUUAGAGUCAUUUCUCCUCAACCUUAUCAUUCAGAGUCAUAGCUCCUGACAUUCAUAUUCACUGGUGUGAAACCAAGGUUUGGUUAAUCUUGAUUUUGAUGAUAACAAAACAAGGUUUAGAACUAAUGAUCAUAUUUCAAGUGUGAUUAGGCAAGACGACUUCCAAAGUGGCAAUCCAAAGACAAAUCAAGCCAAUGAGAAAUCAUAAAGAAGAAGACCACCUCAAAUAGAAGAGUUUUUCAAGACCAAAGCUUCUUAAGAUCUCUUUGUAAGGUUGUUGGUGCACUAAGACUAUCAUGCAUUUCAUUCUUUAUUUAUGCACUAAAAUCAUUCAAGAGUAAUAUUAUUUUAAAUAUCUUAAGAAUUGCAUGAUUUCAUGUUUUCAACUAAAACCUUGUGUUAAAUGAUUCUCAAACUUGUGUUAAAAGGCUUUAAGUUGAAAAAUGUUGAGUGUUGAGCCAAAAAAUGGCUAAACCGGUUCAACUGGUCGUGCUCAUUUGGUCGAGGACCGGUUGUGCCUAUCUGGUCGAGGACCGGUUGAGGGAGGCCAAAAAGUUUCUCUCUCUUCCAGUGGCCUUCUCUUCCCGGUUAAGGUUGAACCUCAACUGGUUGAGGUCCGGUUGAGGCCUAAUGGUCACUUUCCCUAACGGCUAGUCAACCAGUCGACCCCUAGCUCGACCGGUCAAACCCCCAACGGCUAGUUUGGCUUUUUUCUUCUAUAAAAAGGCUCCAAUCUUCAUUGUUUCAUAAGCUUAACCUUCCCAAAUCAUUCUUGAAUAUAUGUGAGCCUUGGAAGAGUGUUUUUUAGUGCAUCAUUGUUUCAUAACUUGCAUAUCUUUAGUGCACCAUUCAAUCCUAGUUUUUCUUGUAUCUUUGAGCCUAAAGUUCUAUUACUAGGAUUUUUGUGAGAUCAAUCUUUGUAUAUCUUUAAGAGGAAUUUUCUCAAGUGAGGGGUAUCACUUGAGAGGUUGUUCAAGAGUGAGAUAACUCUUGAGAAGUGUAAAGGGUGCUUGGAACCAAAAGUCCAAGAGGGUGAAUUGAAACCAUAAUCCAAUUGUAAAGAGAUUGCAAGCUUGGUUGAAGCUUCAAGAUAGUGGAACACUCACUCGGUUAGGAGAUUGAGGAGAGUGGACGUAAGCAAAGACGUGUCGAACCGCUAUAAACUCUCGUGUUUGCACUUUCUCUUCCCUAACUCUUUUAAAUUAUAUGCAAUUGUUUUUAUUUUGUUUAUUAUAUACUUGCAUAUAAUUGUCUCUUAUUUUUGCAUAGUUUAAAUUUGUGAAAAAAAGACCAUCACCCUAUUUACCCCCCCCUCCCCCCCCCCCCCCCCNNNNNNNNNNNNNNNNNNNNNNNNNNNNNNNNNNNNNNNNNNNNNNNNNNNNNNNNNNNNNNNNNNNNNNNNNNNNNNNNNNNNNNNNNNNNNNNNNNNNUCCCAAAAUUUUUUAAAAUAAAAGAAAAUUUUUUUUUUUUUUUUUUUUAAAACUUGCCAAAAAUUUUUUUUUUUUUUUGCAAAAUUUAAAUUUGGGAAAAAAAAACCCCCCCCCUUUUUUCCCCCCCCCCCCCCCCCCCCCCCCCCCUCCCCCCCUUUUCUAGGGUGAUUACCAUAGUUUGGAUUAGCCUCAAAUUCCUAACAACUGGCAUUACACAUCUUAUCUUCACGAUUUUGCAUUCGUCCUCAUUUUCCUCACCUCGUUACCUUGUACUUAUCAUUUCUUCACCAUGUUCUUCUAUACUUCCCCUUCCACUGCACAUGACUUAGUCUUUUGAGUUCACGACACAUAUUUUGGUCAUAUUAUUGGGCAUCCUACGCUUAGCUUUCUCAUGUGUACACAUAUAGUCGCUCCUUUUGGACGCAUUCUUUCCUGUGCUCCAGGGUGGUUCGACUGUUACUCAUCUUUGACAUUGAUCUUCGAGUCGCUUUUGGAGAUGUCUUAGAGGGAGUCUGGGUCCUUAGUGUAGCUGUAGAGGUGCUUUGAGAGAUGCUUUUCUCUUAGGAUUUAAGCCAUUUUCUUCAUCUAUUGGCCUAAGUGAGUUCAUGUUUUACUAGUGUCCCUUUGGGGGUCUCAUUUGUUCUUCAGUAGAGUUCACUUCAUUGCACUCACUAUUCACACUUUCUUUUCACUUUAAGUGUUCAUAUUCCUUACACUCGUGAACCCUACCGAAGAGAGGCAUAUUUGUAGACCCUUUUUUAAAACAAAGGUUUUUUUUCUUUUUAUUUUUUACCACGCGGGAAGAGUUGGAGAGUUGAACGUUUCAUUUGAAGUGGGGGACUGCUUCCAGGAGCAAGUUGCAUGGAUGUGUGGGAAAGACGUGACUUGUCAUAGUGGUGGUUGAAAGUGGUGACAUCUCCCCUGAACAAGGAGCAGUGGAGUGGGUAGCAGCUUACAAGGGAAGGAAGAAACAAUGGAAUGGGUGGAAGCUUGGAAGGCGAGAAAGAAACAGGAUAUAAGAAAAAAAAGAAGCUAAAAAAAUAGAGAUAUGACAUUUUUUUGGGAGAAGAAGAGAAGCUGGAAAAAAGAAAGAAAAAAAGGGGGUCUAAAGGAUUGACGGGAGAGGGACGUGUGAGAGAGGUUUUUUAGCAGGUGAGGGUGAGAGUUGGGAUAAGAGAAAAGGUUGGAAAGGGAAAAGGAUUCUAGAGAAAGCGAAAAUAGAGCUUGGAAGAGCACUUUCAGGUUGACGAUGUUCUUGAGUUAAAGCUGAAAGGGCAGCUUCAAGUUGACAUGGAUAAGGGGACUUGUCCGCCAUGAGAGAAGUGAAGAAGGAGAUUCACUCAUUCCUUUCCACCCAUCCCAACACACGUUUUUCUCCAUUCUCCUUUCCAAAUUAUCAGUUUUCCUAAAAUAGUUGCUUCCUCAGCCUCCUCAACUCCUCGCCAAUUCUUCCAACUUUUUGCUAUUUUUGCCUCUCAAUUUAAGCUCUGAUCUGCCCCACCAUUUUCUUUGGUUCUUCCUUUUUGGUAAAGACCCUAUUUUCUUCUUUAUUAUUAUUAUUAUUUUUUUCAUUUGAUUUUGAAGCCCUAAUUUCAAUAAUCCGAUUGUUUUUAAUUUUCAGAAUAAUUUCUUCAUGGUUUUAUGCUUAUUAAUUCAUUUCUAUGGUUUGUUUAUGAGCAGUUGGUUCAUACAUGAAUCUCUUGGCUUGAACGUUACAUGGUUUUUUUAUUUUUUUAUUUUUUUAUUUUUUUUCUUCUUGUACAAUUUUAAUUAAUUCUUAGUUUCAAAACGAUGGGUGUGCACCAAUCGGAAUUUCGUUUCAGUAUAAUCAUGGGUCGACACUCGUUGAUGAAUUUCUUGGGUUUAAGGUUUUAAUAUUGGUUUAAAGCUUCAAAUUCUUUAAUUUUGUUGUGAAAACAAUGUUAUCUGCGGCUAUUGUACUUGCCUCAAUUAACAGUAAGGCAAUAUUUUCUCACAAUCAUUUUCACACCCUAUCCAGAUUAUUUUCAAGCGAAGCAAUUCUGAUUUAUCUAGCAUUUUCGAGUUCAAAUAUUCCAAUGCGUGUAAUGGGGUCUGUUUCAAUUGAGGUUGUGAAACUUAGGGCCCAAAAUUGUAAAGGGUUUGUUGUGAAGAAAUAGAAAUUGGUUUGUGGGGACAGAGAAUUGGCAAGGAACAAUUCUCUUGUCCGGGACUAUGGGGUUUCAGAUGGGAAUGUUUUUCAUUUGGUUCUCAAGCUCUCUGAUUUGCAAAUCAUCAAUGUUAGGACUGCAUAUGGAAAAAAGUUUACUUUCCAUGUUGAGAGGUCCAGGGAUGUGGGGUAUGUUAAGCAGCAGGUUGCUAAGAAGGAGAAAGGUUUGGUUAAUGUUGAAAAUCAAGAAAUCAUGUGUGAUGGCAAGUGGGUUGAUGGAAAAUGGAUUUGCUAUUGUUGUAUUUGAGAUAACAAAUAGAGUUGAGAAUAAGGAUGAACACAUGGAGAAAUGCAAUUUGGGAUGAGGGUCCCACAAGCUUAAUUUAAAAUUGAUAUUGCAUGUAAAAUAUACUUUGAAGUGGCUGGCCAUGCAUGGCCACCUUCCAAAUACAACUCCUCGGGCCACGUGUCACCCUCCUAAUUCAUUUUUUUUAUGUUAAAAUAAAAAUUGAUCUUUUUAAAAAAUUUGAUCUUUUAAAAAUUCCAUUCUCAAAUAAUUUUUCGAAAUUCAAAUUUUAAAAUUUAAAUUUCAAAACUUUUGUUUUCAAAUAAUUUUUCAAAAUUCAAAUUCUUAAAUUUAAUUUUCAAAUUUUCAUUUUCAAAUAAUUUUCCGAAACUCCAAUUCUUAAAUUUAAUUUUCAAAACUCCAAUUCUCAAAUAAUUUUCAAAAUUCAAAUUUCUUUCAAAUUUAAUUUCCAAAAUUCCAAUUCUUAAAACUAAUUUUCAAAACUCCAAUUCUCAAAUAAUUUUCAAAACUCCAAUUUCUCUCAAAUUUAAUUUCCAAAACUCCAAUUCCUAAAUUUAAUUUUCAAAACUCCAAUUCUCAAAUAAUUUUCAAAAUUCCAAUUCCUUCCAAAUUUAAUUUCUAAAAUUCUAAUUCUUAAACUUAAUUUUCAAAAUUCAAAUUUCUUUCAAAUUUAAUUUCCAAAAUUCCAAUUCUUAAAUUUAAUUUUUAAAACUCCAAUUCUCAAAUAAUUUUCAAAUUUCCAAUUUCUUUCAAAUUUAAUUCCCAAAAUUCCAAUUCUUAAAUUUAAUUUUAAAAACUCCAGUCUCAAAUAAUUUUCAAAAUGUUAAUUUCUUUCAAAUUUAAUUUCCAAAAUUCUCAUUCUUAAAUUUAAUUUUCAAAACUCCAAUUCUCAAAUAAUUUUCAAAAUUCCAAUUUCUUUCAAAUUUAAUUUCCAAACUCUAUUUCUUAAAGUUAAUUUUCAAAACUCCAAUUCUCAAAUGAUUUUCAAAAUUUCAAUUUCUUUCAAAUUUAAUUUCUAAAAUUCCAAUUCUUAAAUUUAAUUUUCAAGACUCCAAUUUUCAAAUAAUUUUUGAGAUUUCAAUUUCCAAAUAAAUUUCAAAACUCUAGUUUACUUUCAAAUAGUUUUAAUUUCACUCCAGUUUUCAAAUAUUUUUUUAAUUCUACAACUUUUCAUCCUUUAUUAAGGUUUUAGGUCACCAAAAAUCUUGAUUUUAAUAGGCUUGUUGCCAUUCUCAUUUUGGUAUGCACUUGUACAAAUUUUCUUCGAUUUUCAAAUAAUUUGUUGUUUCUCUUGAUUUUAAAUAAGCAAGAAUGAUUUUCAUGAUUCCAAAACAAUGGAAUUUAUGGGAUUGGUUCAUGCAAAAUCAAUUGGGUUUUGGCGGGGGCCCUACAUAUGAGUUUUCUCUUCUGAUUGUCAACUGUUAUGCUUAAUAAAUAUCGCUUGAUAUUUCUCUUUGAUAUGCAUGUGAUAAUUUUAUACUUGAACUAACCUUGUUUCAUGAUAGUGCUUUAUCACCUGCUGCUAAGGUAUGCUCUCACUCUCAUUUUGUUUAUUUAUUCGUUAUUAUGAUUUGCUUUUGAUCCAUGAUCAUUUUGGUAUUCAUUGAUCUCCUAGUUAAUUGUCACGUUUGCUUCACCUUAUUUAGUAGAGACCCAUUUUUAGGGACUAAGAGGGGUGCUACGAUCUUUACCGUACCUUUCAAAUAAGCAAUCUGACCCUCGAACACAGACUUAGGUUUUCACAAACAUGUUUUUCCUUCAAGAGUCACACUUAGGGUUUUUCUCUCUUAUUUUGUUUUUCCCUUAAAAAAUAAAACAAAAAUAAGUGGCGACUCCAAGUCUUUUUCUAAAAAUCACAUUUUCACCAAACCAAUAAAAAAGUGAGUUUUGUCAUCGAGUGGGAAUGCAUCGAGUGAAAUGUGGGGUCCACAAACGAUUUUUUUUAAUAAAAAAUCUAUAAAUUGAUUUUUAAAUAAACGGCCCUGGAACCCUUUUUAAUAAAAUAAAAAAAAUUUUAAAUGUUUUUCUAUUAAAUAAAGAGUCUAGAAUUUUUUUUUAUUAAAUAAGAGGAACUAGAAACCUUUUUUUUUUUUAUUAAGUAAACCAUCCUAAAAUCAGUUUUGAAAAAUAAGAGGAUCCAUAAAUCUUUUUUUAUUAUUAAAUAAUCAGUUUGGAUUUUUUUUCAAUAAAUAAAAGGUUUAGAAAUCAUUUUUAUUAAAUAAAACAGUCUAGAAAUCAUGUUUUAAAAAAAUAUUUAAAAAAUCCAAAAAAAAUGUUUUUAAUAAAAAUGAAAGAAGUCCAUAGUUUUAUUUUUAUUUUAUUUAAAAAAUCUGGAAAAUAUUUUUAAAAAAGAUUCCAAAAUGUUUUAAAAUAAAAGUAUAUUUAUUUCUAAAUAAUAGUCCUAAUUUUAUUUUAUUUUUACCUGUCCUAAUUAUAAUUUUUAAUAAACCGACCAAAAAUGCCUUUUUUAAGAAAAAACUAUUAAAAAAUUUGGAGUAUUUUAAAUAAAAAAAAUUGCAAAAUCUUGAUUUUUGUAAAAAAAAAAUAAAAGAAAAAGAAAAAAAAAAUCUUUGAAGAUAAAAUUACAAAAACCCUUUUAAUUGAAGAGGUAAUAAAAUCCCUUCUGCAUUUUUUUUCCUUAAAUUUUUCUCUAAAAAUAAUAAUAACCUCUUCUAAUAAAUUUGAUUUUCUUUGAAAAUUAUUGAAUAAAGUUUGAAACUCUUUUUAAUAAAAUUGAAGAACCUAUUCUUAAAAUAAAGUUAAACUCAUUUUGAAAAAUAUUGUUUUAAUGAAAUUAAAUAAGACUCCCUUUCCAUAAAUAGAUUGGAAUUGGAAAUAAUUUUAUAAAUAGAGUUUAUAAAAUAUAUGUUUUCUUUAAUAAGAAUGGGAUGAAAAUCUAUAUAUAUAUAUAUAUAUAUAUAUAAAUUAAAAUUGCUGAAAUUAUUUUUCUAAUAAAUUAAAUAACUAAAAGAAGUGGGACUCCAAUUUUUAAAAAAUUGAGUGAGAGAAUAUAUGUAAAAAAAUAUAGAUCCACAAAAUUAUUUUAAUACAACUAAAGUGAUGUUUGAUUUUUUUUUUUUUUAAUUUAAUAUUGAAUGCAAUUUACUUUCAAACUUUAGAUAAUUUAUUUUUCACUUAUUUCUUAUUUUUAAAAUUUUUUGGAUGAAUAGAAAAAAAACUUAAAUAUUUGACUUUAAUUCAAGCAGUUAAAAAUAAUUUUUUAAAACAAUCAAAAUAUAAUCUCAACAUGAACCUCACCUUAUUAAUACUUAAUAUUUAAUAAAAAUACAAACAAUGAAAUAAGUUUAACCUUCAAAUUACAAAAGAGUUAUAUGAAUCGGCAUAAUUAUGACAUGAUUAUUCCUAACCCAAAGUCACUAAGAUUUGGGUCAAAUUUGAAGGAUAUUAUGGUAUCUUGUUAAAAUGAUAGCCUCUAACUUGGUUGCAGUGGGAUUUUAAUUCUCAUCAAAACACGAUAUCUUACUGGUUGACCCUUUUCCACCCACUCCACUUCACAAAUUUGAUUUUUGAUAUUUAGGUUUUAUUAUUUAAUUUUUACUUUUAAGUAUUAAAUUGCUACUAAAAAUUAUUAUUUUAUUCUUCUACUAAUAUUACUGGGCAUUAUUUGUUAAGCUCCAAGGUAUAAUAACCCCAAAUGUAAAACAAAUUUGAUGUAUUUUUAAUAUUUAAAAAUAUAUAUAUUCUAAGCAAAUAAUUACAAAUAUAUAAAACUUUUUUUAAUAUUUAUAUUAUAUACAUCACUUUCACGGAAAAUAAUUUUUUUUUUUUAAAAAAAACUAUUUUUCAUAUCGGAGUUGUCAAAUUCAAUUUUGCUAAUGACAACCAGUUAACUAUUUUUAAGAGCUGUUAUCAAAAACUAUUUUUGAAAAUAUUCCCAAUGGACUUGAACCAUUAAUGCUCAAAGAGAUCAAACAGAAUCUCUUUUGGUUUCUACAAAGUAGUUACACAAAUGUGCACUCAAAGAGACCUGAUGUACAACAUUGCUUCCCUUAUUUGUCCACACCACUUUGUACCAGAAAAAGAAAAUAAUAAUAAUAAUAAUAAAAAUAAGUAAAAAUAAAAAACUGCUUCACUGUCUGCAAGGGCACAUGGCUUUUUUAACCGGAAAACAAAUUGGCAAUAUCAGAGGCAUUUCAGCAUUCCUGUGAAGAGAAGUUUGCUCAGGAACCAGAAUUUCAAACAAGCCAAUCUAAGUCAGUUGUCUCGUCAAUCAUCAAAUUGGUGAAAUUGUGAUCUUCCCACAGAUGGGCCUUUUCUGUGUCACAGAUUACUUUCAACUGCUUGAUACGCAUGAUUGAUGGUGGCAACUCUCUCAAUCUUGAGCACCUUCUCAUGUAGAGCUUUCUCAAUCUGCACAACUCACCCAUUUGUUUUGGCAGUUCCCUCAUUCGAAAACAACCACUUAUAUCAAGACAAGUCAAGUUGUGGAGGCUUGCAAUUGAGUCUGGCAAUCCCACUAGUUUUGUGCAGGCAUGAAGCCUCAGCACCUCCAGAUUUCCCAGCCUCCCCAUCCCUUCUGGCAGUGUAGAUGGCUUAUGGCAGUUGGAGAUGCUGAGCUUCCUUAGCUGUACUAAAUCACAGAGCCACUCAGGUAACCCCACCAAGUCAUUGCAGGAAUCAAUAUUUAUUUCCUUAAGAUUAGGCAACAUAACAGGCAUCUGGAUGGCACUGCAGUUAAAAGCCUGAUUGAUCUUACACAUAACCAAGGUUAUUUUCUCCAAAUUCUUUAACUCUACCAUGGUGUUGCAGAGGGCUGGGAUUGAAACCCGCUCUAACCUGAUUCUCUUAAGACUGGAUAAAGAACCGAGGACUGAAAAAUUAGUCAGUUCAGGAAUGGAGAAACCAUAAUUUGUUAAUACCAAGACCUUCAACUUAUCCAUUCGCUUCAUGAACUCUGGUAGUGUGUAGUUGCUUUCCCUUGUCUGAAAGUUGAGUAUCAGGACCUCCACUUCAGGUGCUUGCAUGUCGCACCAGCUUGAGGAGAACAUUUCGUCUACACAAGUACCCUAUAAAAUGUGAGGGGAUAGGGAGAAUAAAUAAUAUAUAGCAAAUUGGUAGGUGCAUUCUACGAGAAAGCAAACCUGUGGAGAUAGACAGAAGGCGAGCCUUGAUGCAGGGUUGUUUUUCUUCUGUCCACCAAUCAGGGAGCUUGUUUCCACUCAAGUCCAAGAUUAGUCUUUUCCUCUCUUCCAUGGGCUCCUGGCUGAUCUGACGAAUGGCCAGUUCUCUCAGAAGAUCAUGUUGCAAGACAAAGGCGUCGUCAUAGCAGCCUUCAACCUCUGCUGUGCCUUUCCUGGGGAGCGGGCAGAAAUCGAUUGCUCAGGGAAAGGUUGUGACGGAAUUUGUAAAAUAAGCUAUCAAGUUCAAGUUCAACUAUCAAACAUUCAAAGAAGCUAUAAGGGUGUCAUUAACUGUAAUAAAACUUUGAUUAAUCACGAAGACUAAAUAUUAUAGAAUCAGUGUAGGAUAUGAAUAGUGAACAAACCAAUAUAUAAGAAGACAAAUGAGAAAAGGGUAGUCACCCCCAUACCUUGUGACUACCAGAUUAAGCAGAUUCUGUAAGGAGAGUUUAAUAAGUCUGGAAAUAGCAUGCACGCCAUUUUUAUCGAGUUUGUACAAUUCUGCCCACAUAUCUAUAAGAGCCGUGACAGGUAUUUUUUUAUCCUCAGGAAACGAGCCCAGGUCCAUAAAGCACUCCUUCAGCUUAUCAUUCAAGGAAGCUAAGCUACUUUGGAGGCAAUCAAGAAGACCUUCCCCAGAUUCCAAAAUGGAUUGACCUUCCAACCAUUCCAGCAGUCUGCUUUUCCAGAUCUCUACAGGUAGCCCACAGAGUGAUCGGGCUACAACUUGGAGGACCAGAGGGAAUCCACCGCAUCUUUUCACAAUCUGCAAAUCCAACUCCACCAAAUAAAUCAGUUAUACCUUGAAAGUAAAAGAAGUAGUUUUAUAACCUUCACUCAAAUGAUUGAGAAAUCACCUCCUUCACAAGAUCUUCAUCAAAAUCUUCAUCCAGCGUGAAAUCCCCAUCUGUGGGGAAUGCUGAGUGCCGAAAAAGUUCCAUGGCUUCUUCACCAUGCAACAAGUCCAGUUUGUAGGCACAGCCAAAGCCUGGAAAUUUGUAUCUUGAUGUAACCAGAAUCCUGCAUUCCGGUAUUUUAAACUCAAACUUCUGAAGAGGGAAUUCAGGUUCAACCCUAAUAUCAGGGCCACCCCAAACAUCAUCGAGGACCAACAGUACAGGAGCUUUUUCUGCUUGUUUUUUCAGCAGUUGUUCCAACUGAAUGAUCGCAUCUUGAUCAUUUUG
rnacentral:lncRNA from 1 species